rnacentral:lncRNA from 1 species
CGAGGGGCGACCGGGCCGGGGCCGCUGCACGCCGAGGGCGGAGGCCGAGCCGGGCCCCCGCCGCGCCCCGGCGGCUCGCUGCCCCCACACCCGCUCCGCUCCGAGGGCUGGAGGAUGAGUUCCCCGGGGUCCGGGUGAGUUGGCUUGUCUGGAAGUGCGUGUGCGCGCCGGGAGAGGCCGGCUGCGGCGGGGAGGCCGGCGCGGGCGCGGGCUAAGUUUGGAGUGAGGGGCGGCCCGGCCGGGUUGUUGAGGCCGCGGCGCGCCCUGGGCCCCGCGGUCCCCUCCGCAGACCCCUGGCCCUGGGUCGUGUCGGGUUCUGCCGUCCGGGCCCUCUUUUGUUUCCCGUUCCACCCCUGGGUCACAGGCCGUGUUUGGGAAGGCGAUGUGGGCGAAAGCCGCUCCGAGGACGCUUCUGGAAUCCUUAAAUGGGAAAGGCGCUUAGCUCCCCGCCCCGGAGCUGCGUGAUCGGGAUUCGGGGUUCGUCUCGGUACGCUUCGGUGAGAAAGGAAAGAGAACAAAGUGUGGUAGUCGAGCCCGGAGGAGCUGCUAGCCCGCCCUCCAACUUGGAAGGUGCCGGUUUUCUCCGAGGUCGCUGCGUGUGGGUUCACCUGUUGUCCUGCGCGGCCUCCGCUGCCAUGUCUGUUGUGAUUCUGCCCUUCAAUUUCGGAAAACUUUCUGCUGGAUUGCUUGUAACCUUUUUACUCUUUCCAGACUCCCAGUGGAAAGGUUUGGCAAGGAAAAAAAAAUGAGAUUGCGUCAGGGCAGAAAAAUCAUAUCCGUGUGUUAGGGUCUUGUGUUUUGUACUCCUUCGUGCGCUCGGAUGUUUUAAUUUGGUUUAAGCACUGCAGGUUUUUCUUUUAAACAAUUAGCAAACCGUUCUGAGUACAUAGUAGGAACUUGGCACCCGUAAUACGUCAUUUAUAAGACGUCAUUUACUUUAUAUCCGUGGCUGUUGUAAUUCUCAUUUGAAGGAAACUGAGCCUCAAAGAUAUUAAAUAAUUCAGAUGGAUGAGCUGGGAUUUGAACUCGGGAACGUCGUGUCAAGGCACAGGAGUUUUUCUUUUUUUAAACAAACCUUCAAAUACUUUUAGGUAUAAAAUAGUGUUUUUCAGUUAUUCGUACUUGAAACGCGCUGUUUUGUUGCUUGAGUUCAAAACAACUUCUUGAUUGUAUUUGCUUGUGAGAGGAGUUAAACUUCGAAUUAAAUUAGAAGGUCACAAUGCUUAUUUUCAGUUGUUGAAAUAGAUCGUGAACCAGAAUUAUUUCGCUUUUAAAAUUUAAAGUAAUAGGUGAUUCUUUGAUCUAGGAAUGAGCUGUUUACGAAAGGCCGAUUAAAAUUUGGAAUGUAUUUUUAAUAGAACCAGUACUCUGUUAUUUUUUUUUCCUCUUCACAUUCUCCAAGGAGCCCAUUUCAAACCUUUUUAGUUUUCUGCACUUCUCCCCACCCGUUACUAAAAAGAUUGAGAUGUCUAGUGGGAGGUCCUCCUCUGGAUUCCUUCUCAUCAGUUUCUUUCCUUGGAGAUUGUUUUGGUUCUUCUUGCAAGUUAACACCUGGUUUCAUCUUUCCCUGAUUUUCCUACUAAAUGGAGCAUGAGUUAUCCUUUCUGUUGUCUUUGGUUUUUAAAAGUACAGAUGUAAUUAAGAUUUCUUAAAUUUACAAAACCCUUUGCUUAAGUUUUCUAUUCCCUUAAGCUGUCUUGUUGCUGCUUUCCUUUUUAGUGCACAUUAACAUUUAAGUUUUUUUUUCUUAUAAAAGUAAUACGUGGCCAUUAAAGAGAAGUUGCAAAAAUAGAGCAAAAUUGAAGUAAAAUUAAAAUUCAGUCAUUCAUAAUCUCAUCUGUAGAGAUUGCCAAGAGUAGUCUACUUUUCCUCCUGGACAUGGUGGCCAUCUAUCCAUUUCUUAACCCUUUGUUGACUAGGAAUUAAUCAACACAUUUAAGUACCUUUAUUCAGUCCUCUCCUUGAAGUUCCUGUAAAAUAUAUUUAACAUCCAUUUCACAUUUUUUUUUUUAUUUGAUAAUGCUGAUCCUGGGGAUCAAACCCAGGGGAUUGAAAGCACUUUGCCACUGAGUUACAUUGCCUGCCCAACUUCUGCUUCUUUGAAUGUUUCUCCUUGGCUUUCAUUCUUCUGUACAUUUCAUUUCAGAAAUACUUGCUGUAUUCUAAAAUAUUGUACAAGGUAAAAGGGUGCAACUACAGAUAUGACCCCUGCUCUCAUGGAGCUUAAUAUCUAGUGGGGGAGACAUGUUGAAGGAUGUGUUCUAUAAUUAAGUAAAAUUGUUGUUAUAAUUGAAGUGUAGAGUAUUAUAAAAGGUUAAAAAGAGGUUAAAAUUAGGAUCUGACCUGGUGCUGGGAGAUUAUAGGAACAUCUCCCUAAAAUGUUACCUCAGAACCUGGCACAGUGUGAAGGAAGAGUAAGAAUUAACUAGGUGUGAAAGGGGGCUUCUGCAGCUUUGUUCUUCCUUUUUCUGCCACCCUUUCUUCCUCCUUCCUUUUUUUUUGGGGGGGGGAGAGGGGUACUGGGGAUUAAACUCUGGAGCACUUCCACUGAGCUACAUCCCCAACCCUUUAAAACUUUUUUUUUUUAACAGGAUCUCACCAAGUUUCUGAAGCUGGCCUCAAAGUCACCAUUCCUCCUGUCUCAGCCUCCCUAAUCACUGGGAUUACAGGCAUGCACUGCACUAUAACCUAGUCACUUCCUCUUAAUAUAUGCACUUCCUCUGAUAUACAUGUUUUCCAAGUUUCACUCUUCAAGUCACUUUUAUGUCUCCAGUCUCUCCAUUAUUAUUCAGACCUUUUUGUCUGAAUAUUUCUCAAAUCUUUGUUCUUAAUUUCUCUUGUGCAUGAGUCCUAUUUUUUCAUUUGCUUUAUGCAUAAUGUGGCCUGGUUGUUUCUAGUUGAAACUUAACUCUUCCUUUUGGCUUCUUUGGUGUUCCUUAUUUUUGUUGAUGUCAUACCAAAUCCAAACCUUUUUCCCAUUCUGUCACGUAUUGUUGAAUCUGCCACCAUCUUUUGAUUCUGCUUUUAUGAUAUUAUAACUACUCUGUAUUCCUGCUAACUGACAAAAUUCUUAAUUCAUGUUGGUAUUAGAGUUAUAAUAAAGUUACAAAAUAAGUUGGGCAGUUUUCUUCUUCUUUUUUUUUUUUUCAGGAGUUUUGGACUGGGAUUAUCUGUUCUUUGAAAGUUUGGCAGAUAUCACCUAUAGGACCAUUCAGGCCUUUAUCUCUUUUCCUGGAGAGGGUUUUGAGUACCAUUUCAAUUUAUUUAGUAGCUAUUGGUUUAUGUAGGUUUUUAAAAAUUUUUCAUUAUAUAUACCUUUUAUUUUCAUUUAUUUUUAUGUGGUGCUGAGGAAUGAACUCAGUGCCUCACCCGUGCUAGGCAGGUGCUCUACCAUUGAGCUACAAUCCUAGCCCUUAUGUACAUUUUUUAUUUCUUGUGUGAAUUUAGUGUUUCAUAUUUUUUUCCAGAAAUUUAUUAGUUGAGUUUUCAAAUCUGAGGUUAUUUGGUUUUGGUUUUUAGGUGUUGAAAUUUCUACUACAUGUGCUUUCCCCCUUUUCACACCCCCCUACCCCGUUUUAAACCAGGUUCUUAUCCUGCUUGGAUAAUGAUAUGAUCUUGUUUUUCUUUUUUGCUUCUUUUACCUGUUCUUUUUUCACUCUCCUCCUGGACUGUUGGUUAUAGUGUUCCUUCUACGUGGAUUGCAUAUAUGGCCAGUUAUCAUAUGUCCAAGUCCAACCCAGUUUUGAAGCACCAUUUUGAUUGCAACUCUUAAGUUUUAACAAUUUUUUUCUUCUGGAUGGAAUCCCUCUUGGAGUACCACACAGUUUUUUAUUUUUAAUUUUUGGCAUGCAGUUUUCUCUCCCUAGUAUUUUCUUAUUGCACUUGUCUUUUAAAGAAGUUUUAAUUUUUUUGAAGCAUGAUUUAUAUACAAUGAUGUAUAUAAGUUAGGUGUGCACUUCUGUGAGAAAUUUAAUCUUUUAUGGUAGUUUUUAUACAGUUACUAGUUCCACUAUUAGAUUGCAGGCUGGGUCUGUAAUGGAUUUUGUUGCAUUUUAAAAUGAAUAAAUUGGGAAAGGCCCCUAUCUGUCCUAGCAGUGGCUAUUGAACUGUACUGAUUUGACUUAUGGAUCUUGGAAGCAGAUGGGUUUCCUCCCAUGCUAAAUUUUGAAGUAGGAACCCUUUUCUUUCCUUUUACUUCUACCACCUUUUACUACUUUUUGUUUUUAGAGUGCCUUUUCAGUGCCAUGAGAUCUAUAUUUAGCCCGUCAGUCCAAUCUUUUUAACAUUUAUAAGAUUAAAUGUUGGGCUGGGGUUGUGGCUCAGUGGCAGAGCUUGCCUAGCACGUGUGAGUGAGGCACUGGGUUUGGUCCUCAGCACCACAUAAAAAUAAAUAAAUAAAAUAAAGGCAUUGUGUCUAUCUACAACUGACAGUUAAAGAAAAAAGAUGUUAUAUUGCAUUGAAUUAUGUCAACUGUAUGCUUAUAAGACACUUAUAAGCCAUUGGUUGUAAAGUGCACCCCAAUGUCAGAGAUGCUAAAAUGUAUCCAUCUUAGAAUUGAUGAAUAAAGUUUCUUUCCUGUUCCUUUAGUGUAGGUGUUGGAAAGAAAGAAUUUAAACUCAUGUGGAAGUGAUUUGUACCCCUGCUGUUACUAUGAAAAGUUAUUUUUAAAUAUGUUUGUUAAAUGUCUUCAACAAGUGAGAAAUUUCAGGCAGUACAGAGAAAUAUUUAUUUUUGAAUUAGGUCUUUCAGGAGACCUGUGUACUUCCAUUUCACGUGUGUGUGUGUGCGUGUAUGUGUGUGGUGGGCAGGUGGGUAUGGAGGCGGAUAUUAGGGAUAGAACCCAGAGCCUGUGCAUGCUAGGCAAGCACUCUACCACUGAGCUAAAUCAUUAGCCCCUGAUUUCUUUUGCUUGUUAUCUGAACUACAAGUUCUCUAAUUGCUACAGACUUUGUAAAGUGGGAAUUGUGGGGGAUUGUGAUGACCAAUUGGAUGGAUCAUUUUUAAGACUAUCCAGUAUUUAUAUAUCAUCAUUAACAAUUAUAUAUAUAUAUAUAUAUAUAUAUAUAUAUAUAUAUAUAUAUAUAUAUAUAUAUAUAUAAAUUGUUCCUCCUUUGGGGGUUGGUUCCAGGAACCUGGUGGUUAUCAAAAUCUUUUGGAUGCUCAUGUCCCAUUAUGCAAAAUGACCUAGUAUUUGCGUAUAACCUGCACACAUCUUUUUGUAUACUUAGUCAUCUCUAGGUUACUUGUGUUAUUCAUUUUUUGUGGCCCUGGGGAUCAAACCCAGGACCUUGAACAUGCUACACAAGGACUCUACUACUGAGCUAUAUCCUUAGCCCCCUCUAGAUUACUUAUGAUACUUAAUACUUAAUAUAGCCUAAUAAAUGAUGUAUAAGUGGUUGUUGUUCUGUAUUGUUUAGGGAAUAGUGACCAAAAAUUCUGUAGUGUUCAGUACAGAUUUUCUUGAAUAGUUUUGAUUCAUAAUUGGUGAGUGGUUCAUGAGUUGUUAAAUCCUAAGGUUUGAAGGGUCUGCUGUAUUUAUUUAAAGAGACAAGAGUCUUACCAUGUUACCCAGGCUGAGCCCAAACUUCUGGACUUCAGUGAUCCUCUUACCUUAGCCUCCCAAGUUCCUGAGACUAUAUGCUUACACCAUUGAGCCCAGCUUGUACUUAAUUUUUUAAAAGUAAGUACAAAAUGUGUUUGAAUGUUCAUAAUUAUGUGUAUCAAUUUUUUUUAGCAAGUACGUUUAAGACCCGCAGUUUUUUUUUUUUUUUUUUGGACUGGGGAUUGAACCCAGGGGCAAUUAACCACUGAGUCACAUCUCUAGGCCUUUUAAUUAAUUAAUUAAUUAAUUUUGAGACAGGGUCUCACUAAGUUGCUGAGGCUGGCCUUGAACUUGUGAUCCUCCUGCCUCAGCCUUUUUUUGUUUUUAAAUAUAUUUAUUUUUUAGUGUUUAGUUGGACACAAUAACUUUAUCUUAUUUUUAUAUGGUGUUGAGGAUCGAACCUAGCACCCUGUGCAUGCCAGGUGAGCGCGCUACGUCUUGAGCCACAUUCCCAGCCCUGCCUCAGCCUUUUGAGUCUCUAGGAUUACAGACCUGCGCCACCAUGCCUUGCAAGACUGUCAUUUUUAAAAAAGAUACAAAACAAAACAAACAAAAAAAUAAGACGAUGUGCCUGGAGAAAUCCAGAAAUGGUUUUUUAAAAGAGCCCUAGUUAGGGGCUUCAGGAGAUAGAUGAUCAGUAUAAUUCAUCACCGGGUGGACUUAGUAAGCUCCUAAGCAGCUAAAUAGGACUAAUGAAUAGACAUUGAAUAGAUAAGGAAAUUGUUUUUGAGUAUCUUUUAUUUUCUCUGAUGUUGUGGACUUCAGUACUUUUCCUUUUAAAAUUUUAUGCUCCCGCUACUUUUUUUUUUUUUUUAAUGGUAUUUGGGAUCGAAUACAGGAGCUUUCUGCCUCUGAGCUAUAUCCCCCCAGUCCUCCUUAUUAUUUUUUUUUAUUUGAGACAGAGUCUCACCAAAUUGGCUAGGUAUUUCCUGAACUUAUAAUCUUCCUGCCUCAUCCUCCUGAAUAACUGCAAUUGUAGGUGUGUACCGCUGCACCUGGCAAACUUUUAUGCUUCUGUUAAUUAUUUUUUAGUGUACAGAUUGGUUAUAUGUAUUACUCAAGUCUGAAAGACUGGAGCUUGACUUGCUCUAGCUGUGUGUAAUUCCCUAUUGAUUUAUGGAGGAGGAUAGAUAGGGGUAUGCUAUACAUAGGGAAAGGAGGAGAAAAAGGAUAUGUCAGAUAUAGGGAUAAAAUAAUCAGAUUUACAGUUUGGUGAUUAAUUAAACGUUGUAGAGUCAGUUUGAAGAACAGAAGACCUAAGACACUGAAACUGGAACAAAACACUAUAAUUUUGAAAAUAAGAUUUUGAAGUGUUUCUGAAACAACCAAAUAGAGGUUUCUGGGGUCAGGUGUGUAACUCAGUGAUAGAAUGUAUUCAUGUAUUCAUGAAGCCCUGGGUUUAAUCCCCAGUUCCAAAAGAAAGAAUAAAUAAAUAAAUUUUAAAAGAAGAAGAAGAGGAAGGAAGAAAUAAAAGAAAACCCAAAGUAGAGGUUUCUACUUGACAAUUGUAUGUAUGGGUCUAGAAUUUGACAGAGGUUUGGGCUGGAGAUAUUUGGGGGUGAUUACCAUUUAGGCUGUAUAUUUCAAUAGUUGGAGUUAGGUGGUACUCAAGUGACUUUUGUUUGCAUGUGGAAAGCCCUACACCCAUUUGGUUAAAGGGAAAAAAUGCUUUCUCUCAUCUUUUUGAAAAGACUAGAAAUCAGCAUGGUUGAAUCUUAUGAUGUUCUCCAUUUUUUUUGGCCUCAUUUUCAGACCAGUGUAUUCAUCUCAUAGAGGAGGACCCUUAGCAUCUCCAGACUAGUAUGGAUUUGUCUGAUAUGAAUUUAAAAGGGGAAAAGGGUGCCUCUUUUCCAUAUAUAUAUGUAUGUGUGUAUAUAUAUAUAUAUAUAUGUGUGUGUGUGUGUGUGUGUGUGUGUGUAUAUAUAUAUAUAUAUAUAUAUAUAUAUAUAUAUAUAUAUACUCUUCCAUGGAGAGAUUCUUGGUGGUUUGCAGGGAGGAUAGGGUGCCAUCUUUAGCCAGAAAUGGCUACUUCCCCCACUGGAGCAGCCAGGGAGCCCAUUAAACCCUGCAGUUGGUAGUCUUCCUGAAACUAUGUGAGAUGGACAAGUGAUGGUCUCCCCAAAGAAAAAAAAGAUGGCUCUGAUCAGUUAAAUAAUUGAAAUCAUCUGUCCUUUGGUUCUUAGCAUUUUAAGGUCAUUCCUUUAGAAUCUGAAGGAAAAUACACAUGUAAAACUCUCUGGUGCAAUUUCAUAUAUAUUCUACAGACUUCUUAUUAGGAAUUCCUAGUCAGCAAAGAGUCCAGAACCAGAGCCCCAGAAAGCACCAACUUAAGGCCUUGGUAGAAAAAAAUAGAUGUUAAACAUUUAUCUAGUUGUAGUAGGGUUAUGGCCUAUGAGGGGCUAGUCUGAGAAUCUUACGUGAGUAUGCCAUGAGGGAAGGGAACCUGAAUUGUCUAGAAUGUGGGUGCUUUGGAAGGCUUUACUAAAUAAAAAUAAGAAAGUAGCCAGCAGAAUGAGACCUUAGGCAAGAAAGCAGAGGGAAAAUGUUUCUGGAAGUAUUCAGUAGUUUUUAAAGCAAACAUUGUAUUCUUUUGCCUGCUUUUUAAAAAUGUGUCUGUUUUAGAUAAUUUGGGAACUAUGAAAAAUUAUAAAGCAGCAGCAAAAAGAUUAAGUUCUGGCUUUAAAAAAAAAUUUUUUUUUCCCAAUAAAGUCAAGUACUGGUUCUACCACAAAGUAGCAGUGUAAUCUUGGAUACCACACAAAACCUGUUUAGAUUUCUGCUGUUUCUUUGUCUUAAAAAGUGAAAGGGGGCUGGCUCCAUGGUACACAUUUGUAAUCCCAGCGGCUCAGGAGGCUGAGGCAGGAGGAUCGAAAGUUCAAAGCCAGCCUCAGCAAGGGUGAGGCACUAAGCAACUCAGUAAGAUUCUGACUCUAAAUAAAAUACAAAAUAGGGGCUGGUAAUGUGGCUCAGUGGUUGAGUACCCAUGAGUUCAAUCCCCAGUACCAAAAAAAAAAAAAAAAUCAAAAGGGACUUGGUGAACUUCAAGAUCAUUUUUCUGCUAAAGAAAGAAAGAAAAUCCCGUUACUCAGUGCAAAGCAGUUAGUUGCUGAAAUUGCAGGUCAUAUAAUGCUUUUUGUCCUGAUGACAUCAUUGGAUUUCAGAUUUUUGGCUGAAAAAAGUCACUCUUCAGCUUUGGCAGUCCUUGCAAAUAACAAAGGGAAUGACUUAUGAUCAAUGGUGCUCUUGCGCUGCCCGUUUUUGUCUCCUUUCUGAACAUCAUCAUUAUUAUUUUUAUUCUUUAGCAUUAGGUAAAGUAUCUGAAGUGGUAUAUGAGUAUAGACUUUCAGGUUUUUAUUUUGGUACUGGGGAUUGAAUUCAGUGGCACUCAACCACUGAGCCAUAUCCCCAGCCCUAUUUUGUAUUUUAUUUAGAGACAGAGUCUCACUAGAUUGCUUACAUCCUCACCAAGUUGCUGAGGCUGGCUUUGGACCUGCAAUCCUCCUGCCUCAGCCUCCUAAACUGCUGGGAUUACAGACGUGAGCCAUCAUGCCUGGCUCCCCAGCUGUUUUUGAGACAGGAUUUCCCUAAAUUGCCUCAGUCUCCCAAGUAGCUGGGAUUAAGCUUCUGAUAGGAAAUGUUAAAGACUUAACAUUUGUUGUUUCUUUGUUUUAAAAAGUGAAAGGGACUUGGUGCAUAUGCAUGUGUAAUUUACAACUAGAUUUUGAAGAUAGUUCAAAAUGUGAAGUAUCUCACUAUGUUUUAAAAAUGUUGAUUGUAUAUUGAAAUGUUAUUGUUUUGGAUACAUUGGACUGAAGAAAUUAUUAAAAAUUAAUUUAACUUGAUUCUUUUUAAAAAAAUAUUUAUUGUUUUAGUUGUACUUGGACAUAAUACAUUUAUUUUAUUUAUUUAUUUUUAUGUGGUGCUGAGGAUCAAACCCAGCUCCUCGAAUGUGCUAGGUGAGCACUGUACCACUGAACCAUGACCCCAGCCCCUAUUCUAGGAUGUUUUAUAUUGCCAAAUGCUUUGUACCAGGUAAGAUAUUUGUAUCUGUUGAUGGCAAAGGGUUCAGAAGAUGAUACUGUGGCAUCAAAAUUAUUUUGAGCGAAAGGCAUUUGCAAGUAGGCUCAUUUCUGAAUUCCCUUAUCUGCCUAAAGGCACAGCUUUCUACAAGAACCCAGUUAUCAUAAAUCUCCUCCAUAGGGCAUGGAAUGUCAUAAACCUUAGUUGUCAGAAAUCUCUUACUUGGGGUAGAGAGAGAGGAGGGGAGGGGAGGGGAGAGGUGGGGAGGGGGGAGGGUGGAUGAUGGGAAAGGCAGCGGAGCACAACAGACACUAGUAUGGCAAUUUGUAAAUCAAUGGAUGUGUAACUGAUGUGAAUCUGCAAUCUGUGUAUGGGGUGAAGGUGGGAGUUCAUAACCCACUAGAAUCAAAGUGUGGAAUAUGAUAUGUCAAGAAAUUUGUAAUGUUUUGAACAACCCACAAUAAAAAAUUAAAAAAAAAAAAAAAAAAAAAGAAAUCUCUUACUUGCGAGUUUUGCAGCUAGGGGAGAUUGAGUCUCAUCAAUGAGAUUAUCUCUCCCGAACAGACGUUAUCACAAAACUCACUAUUUCCAUCUAUUCUCCUAAAGGUACAUUUAUCUUUCCUAAAAGUGACUUAUUUCUUGUAAGUGCUCUUUCUCCCCCUCAGAUUUCCCUGUUAAGAUAGUAUAUAACCUUAGCUAAGCGCUGUGGUGCACACUUGUAAUCCCAGCGGCUCAGGAGGCUGAGGCAGGAGGAUUGCAAGUUCAAAGCCAGCCUCAGCAAUGGUGAGGCACUAAGCAACUCAGUGAGACCCUAUCUCUAAAUAAAAUACAAAAUAAGGCUAGGGAUGUGGCUCAGUGGUUGAGUGCCCCAAUCCCUGAUCUCCCCCCCCCCCAAAAUAUGAAGAUGCAAAAGCUAAGUAAAUUGUUAAGCUAGUGAGUGGCAGAACUUGGAUUCAAAUCCAAGCAGACUGACUUUAGAGUCCAUGCUCUUAAUCACACAAUUAUAUUCUCAAAUGGAGUAGUAUAAUUUUAAGAUGAAGAUGCAUCUACACACACACAUGCAUUUUUCUUUACUUUUACUUGUUUUUAUUCUUGCUCUUCAUUGCUUGUGUUUGUUAUCUGAGGUAUCAGGUAAGAUGUCUGAUGCAUUGAAUAGGUUUACUGAAAAAAAUUUUAUUUGUUUAUUUAUUUAUUUUGAUGCCAGAGUUUGAACUCAGGGGUGUUUGGCCACUGAGCCACACCCACAGCCUUGUCUUGUAUUUUAUUUAGAGACAGGGUCUCACUGAGUUGCUUAGUGUCUUGCAUUUGCUGGGGCUGGCUUUGAACUUGCGAUCUUCCUGACUCAACCUCCUGAGCUGCUGGGAUUACAGGAGUGCGCCACUGUGCCUGAUAAGAUUUACUUUUAAAAAUUACUUAAUUCCUACGUUUUUAUUUCAAUGCAUUAGAAAACUCUCAUAGGUAAAUUUUUGAUUGAUGUUCUUUCCCUUGCCUGAUUUUUUUUCUUUGCAACAUAAAGAGUAUUACAAGUUAUUAGUUGUCCAGUUGUCCUCAUCAGUGGAAUACAGUUGCAUUUUAUUUAUUUAUUUAUUUUUAGAGGAGGAAAAGUUUGUUUGGGGACUCUUUUUUAUUGCUGAGUAAUAUUCCAUUGUGUAUAUAUGCCACAUUUUUAAACUCCAUUCAUCUCCUGAAGGGCAUCUGGUUGGUUCUACAGUUUAGCUAUUGUGAAUUGUGCUGCUACAAACAUUGAUGUGGCUGUGUCCCUGUAGUAUGCUGUUUUUAAGUCCUUUGGAUAUAGACCGAGGAGAGGGAUAGCUGGGUUAAAUGGUGGUUUCAUUCCCAGUUUUCCAAGGAAUCUCCACACUGCUUUCCAUAUUGGCUGCACCAAUUUGUAGGUCCCACCAGCAAUUUAUGAAUGUGCCUUUUCCCCCACAUCCUUGCCAACACUUAUUGUUGUUUGUCUUCAUAAUAGCUGCCAUUCUGACUGGAGUGAGAUGAUAUCUUAGAGUAAUUUUGAUUUGCAUUUCUCUAAUUGCUAGAGAUGAUGAACUUUUUUCAUAUAUUUGUUGAUUGAUUGUAUAUCCUCUUCUGAGAAGUGUUUGUUCAUGUCCUUGGCCUAUUUAUUGAUUGAGUUAUUUGUUUUUUUUUUUUUUUUUUUUUUUUUUUUGUGUGUGUGUGUUUAGCUUUUUGAGUUCUUUAUAUACCCCAGAGAUUAGUACUCUGUCUGAUGUGAGGGGUAAAAAUUUGCUCCCAAGAUGUAGGCUCUCUAUUCACUUCACAGAUUGUUUCUUUUGCCGAGAAGAGAUUUUUUAGUUUGAGUCCAUCCCAUUUAUUGAUUCUUGGUUUUAAUUCUUGUGCUAUAGGAGUCUACAGUUGCAUUUUAAACAUUUCCCCAAAACCUUCAUAUAGUUUUUAAAAAAUUAGUGCUUUAUAUUUUUUCUUAUUCCUGAGAUAUACAUAUGGUUGCUCAUGGUUACACAGGUAAGCCUUUAUUUUUUAAAAAAAAAUCUUUACCAUGAAUAUCACUCUUAAAAUAGUAGAUGUUUGCAUAACAUAAUUAUAUUAUUUGUAAUGGUCUUAGAAUGUGUUUAAAAUCUACCUUGUGAGAGAAAAAAGGAGAAAAAAGCAAUAAAACAUACUGCCACAAAAAUUGAAAGUGAGCCGGAUACUGUGACACACAUUUGUAUUCAGAAGUGACUGAGGAGGCUGAGGCAGGAGGAUCAUAAGUUCAAAGCGAGCAUCAGCAGCUUAGUGAGGCCCUAAGCAACUUAUCAAGACUCUGUUUUCAAAUAAUAAUAAUAAAAAAGGUCUGGAAUGUAUCCCAGUGGUUAAGCACCCCUGGGUUAAAUCUCUGGUACCUAAAACAAAAACAGCAACAACAGCAGCAACAAAAAUAAAUAAAGAAAACCUUACUACUUAAUGUUUCUGCCAUAACUUAAGAAUUUAAGGAAAUAAGGCCAGUAAAGCACAAGUUUCAUUCAUGCUUUAUACCUGAAUGUCUGAACCCAAAAUAUAAGAAAUCUGAAAUUAAGGGGUGUUGUCUAAACAGAAAGUUUUAAAAAUGUGGCUGUCUUGUUUUAGUUGUCGUGUGUGUGUGUGUGUGUGUGUGUGUGUGUGUGUUCUAUAUGUUCCUCUUCCAUUUCAUGUUUGGAACUUUUAAGCGAAAGUUAAGAUAGCUGGGUACUGUGUCUCAUGUCUUCCUGUAGUCCCAGUGGCUCAGGAGGCUGAGGCAGGAAGAUUGCAAAUUCAAAGCCAGCCUCAGCAAUUUAGUGAGAGCUUAUCUCAAUAAAAAAAGUUGGGGAUGUGGCUUCAUGGCUAAGUUUCUCUGGUAAACCCCUCCGACCCCCAAAAAGAGUUAAGAUGUUUCAUAUUUGGUGUAUUUUUUUCUGUAAUAAUGGACUAAAAUAGAAUAAGAUGUGGAGAAGUAGAACCUACUGAGGGAAGCCAGAGACCAGAUGGAAAUAAAAAUCUAAAACCUCUAGAAGAAUGAAGCUAGAAUGAAUACAAUCUAAACACUGAAAUUAUACAUCUGCUAGGCAGCUGUGCAUUCUUUAUAAGUUUUUUUUUUGUGAAGUAACAAAAGAAACUUUGGAAGAACAUUUCCUAAAUAAUCUGAGCAAAUAUUCUUAUCAGUAAUUAUGAUAUGUGCAUUUUUUGGGGGGAAGUACUGGAGAUUGAACUCAGGGGCACUUGACCACUGAGCUACAUCCCCACCCCUAUUUUGCAAUUUAUUUAGAGACAGGGUCUCACUGAUUGCUUAGUGCCUGGCUUUUACUGAGGCUGGCUUUGAAUUCAUGAUUCUCCUGCCUCAGCCUCCCCAGCGGCUAGGAUUACAGGUGUGCAUGCGUUGUGUGUGUGCUUUUUUUAAAAAUUAUUUUUUAGUUUUAAGUGGACACAAUAUUUUAUUUUUACGUUCUGUUGAGGAUUGAACCCAGUGCCUCAUGCAUGCUAGGCGAGCACUGUACCACUGAGCCACUACCCCAGCCCUGAUGUGCGCUUUUAAUUGUACAUUUCCUAGACUUUACACAAAUUCUUUUCUAAAAUUAAUUUUUUUUGAGGGGAGGUUUGGUUUAGAUUUCCUAUUUAUAAUUUCAACACUGAAUCAAUAUUUUAUUAAAUUAUAUAUGAAGAGCUCUUCAGUGGGUACCAAAAAAGAGUGAUGUUGUUAUAAACAUGUCAUUGCUUUCCUUUGUUAGUAUUCUAGGAUGAUCUUGGACCAUUGUCCAAGACUGGAUUUUCAGAAGGAAUGAAAAAGCUUUAUAACCCAGUAGCUGGCGAAGAAGUAGGGAAAAAAAAAACUGUCAAGAGAUAUACCCUUUAAAAGGCCAGAUGUUUUUACAGGACUUUAAAAAUAAUUGGUGAUUCUUAUCUUCCACAAAUUUCCAGAGCAAAGAAAAAUGCAGAAGAGAUGUUCUUUGAGGCUAGUUAUAACCCUGCUAACAAAAUCAGAUAAGGAUAGAACCAAAAGAAGAAGAAGGAGAAAAAAAAAAGAACAGAGAGAAAGAAAAUGAUAGGCUAUUCUUAGUUGUUACUAAUUGUGAAAUUUACAAGUUGAAUUAAACAGUGUAUUAAAAUCCAUAGGAUAACAUUAACUGGAGGAUUUAAAGGAUGAUUUGACCUUCAGAAAUCUGUAGUGUCAUUUACAGUAUAUUAAUAAAGAGGGAGGCUAUUUAGUAAAUAUGACUAUCUUACUUGAGGUAAAAAAAAAUAUUCAAGGGGCUGGAGUUAUGGCUCAGAGGUAGAGCGCUUGCCUAGCAUGUGCUAGCUGGGUUCGAUCCUAAGCAUCACAUAAAAAUAAAUAAUAAAAUAAAGUAUUGUCUGACUACAACAACAAAAACAACAAAAUGUAUUUAAAAAAAUACUCAGUAAGCUGGGUGUGGUGGUACAUACAGUAAUCCCAGUGACUCAGAAAGAUAGAGUUCAAAGCCAGCCUCAGCAAUUUAGCGAGGCCCUAAGCAACUCCUCAAGACCUUGUCUGUAAAUAAAAUAUAAAAAAGGGUUGGGGAAUGUGGCUCAGUGGUUAAGCGCCUCUGGGUCAAUCCCCAAUACCAAAAAAGAAGAGAAAAAAAAAUGGUGAAAUUGAGUAACUAUUUCUGGUAGAUUAGACUUGUGGAAAUAAGGAAAUUUUUCUUAACUUGAUAAAGAGUAAAACUAUCUAACUGAUAAAGCAAACACAACUGGAAAAAUAUUUUUCUUGAAAGAGGGAACAAUACUAAGAGGUCAUUUAAGGCUGUUGUUAUUGAUGGAGGCUUUAGCGAUUGGACUACAAAAAUCUAAAGAAUGUAAAGGUAUAAAUAUUUGAAGAGGAAGAUAAAAUGUGUACUUUUUGCCUUUGCUGCCUUCCAAGAAUGCAGUUUACCUAGAAAAGACGAGAGGAUCAAUUGACAGGUUUAGGAAACUAAUAAAUGAGGUCAGUAAGGUGGCUAUAUACAUGGUAAAGGAAGAAAUCAAUAGGCUUCCUAUACACCAGUAGUAGUUGCUCAAUUUGAGAAAUACUGUCAGCAUUUACUACAUUUGGUGAGAUGUUCCUGUUAAUCCUUGGCCUAAUUGGCAGUUUCCCAUCCCAGACAAGAUUUCAAUCAUAAAGAGAGAGCUCUGGAAGAUGAAGUUUCCAAUUUCCUGCUUACCUCAAUAGAAAAAAAGUCCAGUGUUUUGAAGGGCUGACACAAGGCCGGUUGCUUUCUGAGUAUUCCCAGGGAGCUAAACUGCCCUCGAAUGUUCUUACUCUCUCACUUUCUAGUGUUUGUGUGUGUGUAUAUAUAUAUAUAUAUAUUUUUUUUUUUUUUUUCUUUUUAUCUUUUCUUUUAAAGUACUGGGGAUUGAAUUUAGAGUGUUCUGCCUCUGAGCUAUAUAUACAACCUUUUUUGUUUUAUUUUGAGACAGGGUCUCCCUAAAUUGAUCAGGGGGGGCCUUGAAUUUGUGAUUCUCCUGCCUCAGUUUCCUAAGUAGCUGGGAUUACUGGCAUGUAUCAUCUUUGGAGAGACUGUAUUACUGAGCUUCCUGUAACGUCUGGAGGCCUACCCCUUAGUUUCCUGCAAGAGUAGCACACAGUAUACUCAGGGAAAUAGAAAAGGGAUUUCCCUAAAAGUAACUAGAUUUUUUUUUUUUAAUGAAAUACAUGCUUACUGUAAACACAAAAUUCAAACAAUACAUAAAAAUGAACUUUCCUCUUCUCCUUUUGCUUGCUCUUAAUUUAUUCCUUCUUCAUUGUUAACCACUCUUGCUACUUUUAUAUAUCAUCCUAAAACUUUCUCUCCAUUUACAUAAAUACCUGUUUUUGGUGUUUCAUACAGAUGGUUUCAUGCAUUUUGUAUUGCAGCCUGCUUUUUUUAAAAAUAUUUUUUUAGUUGUAGAUGGACACAUGGUGUCUUUAUUUAUUUUUAUGUGGUACUCAGGCUUGAAUCCAGUGCCUUACACUUGCAAGGCAAGCGCUUUACCAUUGAGCUACAGCCCCAGUCCGAAGCUUGCUUUUUUUGCUUAACAUUUUCGUUUCUCUUGGUUUUUUAAUCUUACAUUGAACUGUAUUCCCCUACAGCUCUAUAUAUUCCCUUUGAAUAGACACUUUUCUUCCACUGCUAUCCAGUUCCUGAAACUUUUUUAUAGUCCCUCUUUCUGAACAUUUUAGUCACCUUGCUCUGGGGCAGCCUUUGCCCCUCUUCUCAGAUUAAUAUUUAUAAAAAGUAAAAUAUGUAGGAUUAUGAGGGAAAUCAAUUAUAUUGAAACAGCUCUUAAAACAUUUUUAGAUAUACUGGUAUAUUCUUUUAUGAACUAAUUAAAUAAUACAGUGGCAGAUUUUCACAACUGCUCUAAUUUUUAAAUAGUGAUGAGCAUAAAUAAUACUUUGAGUUAUCUGCAACAGUGUGAUUUAUUGGGAAUAUCUGAUUUCUUUUGGUUAUAAAGCUACAAAAUGUUAUUACUACUACCGUGGAUCUUGCCUACUCUCAUAAUUAAAGAAGUUGUUCAGUUAGAGGGUAGUAAAAGUAAAGGUGUAAUUUUUUUUCCAUCUACAUUCAGGAAGUUCCUGAUCAAUAUCAUUUACAACUGAAACUUGAUCCACUUUAGAGGAUAUUAGUUGUUUGGCUGCCCAUUUCAGGAGGUGGAGUUUUCUCUUCUAGACCCUCUUUCCUUUAGUCUUAGAAGUAGGUUAUUCUUUUUUUUUUUUUUUUUUUUUUUUAGAGAGAAUUUUUUUAAUGUUUAUUUUUUAGUUUUCGGUGGACACAACAUCUUUGUUUGUAUGUGGUGCUGAGGAUCGAACCUGGGCCGCACGCAUGCCAGGCGAGCGCGCUACCGCUUGAGCCACAUCCCCAGCCCAUGAAGUAGGUUAUUCUUGUUUGCCCUUCUUUGAUACUUCCAGAACACUCUACUUCUUAACGUUCCUUGAUGUCAACAAAAAUCAGGAUUUUCAAUUUCAUGAUAUUGAAUAGUACCAUUUACAACUAUUGUUCCUUGCAGUUUUAAAUGGAACUGUUGUUUACUUCACACUUAUUCCAAGAAGAUACUAAUCUUAUAUGGCACCCUGUUUUCCAUUCUCAUUUCCGGGUUGAUCUUACCUGACCUCAAGGUUUGAAACCAUUCAUGUUUCAAAUUGUGAUGAUGCCAAAUUUUAAUCUCUAGUCUGAACCCUUUCUUGGAAGUAUAGAUGUGUUUCACUUGGGUGUCUAAGAUGUGAUAGCAGUGCAACUUUUUCUAAAAAAACUUUCUUCCCUCAGUAAGUUAAUAUGCUGUGCUUAGAAUGAUUUCCCCUUGGAAGAAAACUAAAGCUGUUUUCUUCCUCUUUGACUAAAAAUGUAUAAAUUGUUUUUGGUAAAAAGCAUGAGAUAGGACUUUCCUUUUAAUCAAAUGGGAAGCUAAUUUCUCAACUCUGUUGAAUAAUUCAUUUUUAAUGAUCUGAAAUGUAAUGAUAUUAGACUUUAAAUAAAUAAAAUUACCAUUUAAUGUUUGCAUUAUAGAUUUCAUACCCUUUAAAGUAUAUGUUAUUUUAAUUUAGAACACAACUAUGAGAACAAUAGUUGAUACUGAAUUAAAAAUGGAUUAAAUAAAUUGAAUAAGUAUGGAAACAAAAAUCAGACAUUAAAUUUGGUGUUUAACAAACUAAGAACAACACACUGGUGGAGAAAGAGGUUCAUUCACUAAUCAGUAUUUGGAUACUUGUAUUGCACUUUGAAGAAGAUCAAUUUUAUAUAGUAAAAUGCAAUGACGUAAACUUAACAGAAGAAGGUUACAGUGGAGUAUGAAAUAUGUAACUAAACAGAUACAAGCUUCCAUCUAAUGUAAAAGGUUUGUAGGAUGCAUACUUAUAUUAGGAAUGAAAUGUAGAAGUGGUAAAAUCAUUACAUACAAAAAUGCUGUCUGUAUUUAAUCCCAGUUAUAGGUAUAGGAAAUAACCUAACCCUAAGGUUAUAUAGCCAUCAGGGGUAUAUGAUAUGAGGAAAAAAGCAUAUCUCUUUUGCCACUGUUGUAAAUUGGCCCAGUCUUAAGGGAAAAGAAUUUGACUAAAAACAUAUUUUAGAAGAAAGGGGGAUGAGAUACUGUGGAGCUAAGGGAUUUGAUUUUGAAAUUUCUAUCUGUGAUGGCAUACUGUAAUAUCCCCUAAUCUGGGCAGGGUUUUUUUUUUUUAAAUAAUUUAUUUUUUAGUUAUAGGUGAACAUGAUAUAUUUAUUUAAGUUUUAUGUGGUGCUGAGGAUCGAACCCAGUGCCUCAUGCAUGCUAGGUGAGCGCUCUACCUCUGAGUCAUAACCCCAGCCCCUGGGCAGGGUUUUGAGGGAAUCUAGGCAUGAUGUAAGUAGUCUAGUAGACCCAAGGAAAAUUUUCUUAGUACUUUCUUUUUUUAAUUAGAAUUACUCUUGCAUAAAUUAAAUAAAAAUUGAAAAAUUUCUCUGUUAAAGAAUUUUGAACCAAAUAUGCUGUAAGAGAUGAAAAUGAAUUUCUUAUUGACUAAGUAAUAUAUGCUGGUAUUUCCAGUCUUCUCAGCAAACUCAUCCUAACCCCUACCUCAUUUUAUUUCCACAUAAUUGACAUAGAAAAAAUUGUUCAUAAAUAAUUUUUAAAUACUUUUUUUAGUUGUAGAUGGACACAAUACUUUUAUUUUAUUUAUUUAUUCUUAUGUGGUGCUGAGAAUGAAACCCAGUGCCUCACAUGUGCUAGGCAAGUGCUGUACCACUGAGCUACAACCCCAGCCCCAAAUAAUGUUUUUGUCCCUAGAAUUUAGGAAGCAGUGGUAUAGAACAGUAUUCAACAUUGGUCUUGGGACUGUGGUGGAAACAAAUUCCUGGAGGUACACAAGCACUCAGAUAGCUUAAGUGAGUUAAUUCCCAGAUCUUAAAUCUCUGUGAACUCUUAAAGUUGAUCUUAUGUGAACCAGUCUUUUAAGCAAUUUCUUCUUUGCCACAUGCCUUUCAACUGUGGACCUUUUCCAUUAUACAGAAAAGUGGCCCCACUUUUACGUGUCUCUACUCUUAGCCAGAUGUAUUUGCCUGGCAGUGGGAAACCUUGUGAUGAAAAGGAUCUCAAAACAAUUCCAGGGCACUAGAAGAACAGGGCUGGAUAUCUAAUUGCAAAAUAAUGAGUUGGAUCUCUAUUGCACACCAUGUAUAAAAGUUAAAAUGGAUUAAAUACAUAAAUAUAAGAGCUAAAACCAUAAAAACUUUACAAGAAAAACAUAGGUAUAAAUCUUUGUGAUCUUGGAUUGGUAGUGUAGUGUCAUAUCUGCUUAUUAGAUAUGACAUCAGAAGCCCGAGCUAUCAAACAAAAAAGUAUACAAAUAUGGGAUUUUGUCAAAAUUCAAAACCUAUGUGCAUCAAAGGACAUUGUUAUGAAAAUGAAGAAACAUCCAUAGAUUGGGAAAAUAUAUGCAACUCAUAUAUCGUAUGUAUGGAACUUAUGUCCAGAAUAUAUUUAAAAAAAACUCACUUAUAAUUAACCUAAAAAAAAACCCUGUAAUUUUUAAUUUUUGUUAUUUAUUUAUAUAUUUUUAGUACUGGGGAUUGAACCCAGGGGUGCUUAACCACUGAACCACAUCCCUAGCCCUUUUUAUUUUUUAUUUUGACAUAGGGUCUCCCUCAGUUACCUAGGGCUCGCUAAGUUCCUGAGGCUGGCUUUGAAUUUGUGAUCCUGCUGGCCUCAGCCUCCUGAGCCUAUGGAAUUAUAGGCCAGGGCCACCAUGCCUGGCAUUAACCUCUAAUUUUCAAAUGGGCAAAGAACUUCAAAGAAGAUGUGCAAGUGUAAUUCCAGAGAUUUGGAAGGCAGAGGUAGGAGGAUUUCGAGUUCAAACCAAGCCUCAGCAACUUAGUGAGGCCCUAAGCAACUCAGUGAGACCUUGUCUCUAAUAAAAACUGAAAGAAGGCUGGGGAUGUGGCUCCGUGGUUAAGGACUCCUGGGUUUAAUCCUGAUAACCAAAAUAAUACUUUAAAAAAAUUAUAGUUUUGGACCAAAAUAUCACUAAGAAAAAUCAGUGUAUAGUGAAGGGUAGCUGAAUUUUUAUUUUAUCUGUACCAGGGACAGAAUUUCUGAUUUUUCUUAUUAUACAUUUGCUCAUUGACAGAUCAUUUUUAAAUAUUGUUAGGACAGUAAUUAAUUAAAAAUACUUAACAAUUAUGUAGUAUUGGUGUGUUAGUUUUCUAUUGCUGCUAUAACAAUUACCACAGACUUCAUAUUUUAAAGAACACAAAUGUAUUCUCUUACAGUUCUGGAGAUCAGAAGUCCAGUACAAAUCUCACCAGGCUAUGAUCAAGGUGUCCUCAGCCUAUGUUCCUUGCUGGAAGCUUUCGGGACUGUCUGGGUUUUCUCCUUUCCCAAUUUCUAGAGGCUGACUAUAGUCUUUGGCUUGAGAUUCCCUUCCUGCUCAGAUCUUUAAAUAAGUCAACAUGGUCUCACAAUUCUGACCUUUUGUUCUCUUUUUCUUUAACCACAGUGGGGAAAGGAUCUAUGCUUUUGGGAUUUAUGCCAUUAGAUUGGGCACAAUUGGACAAUCCAGGAUAAUCUCCCCAUCUCAAAUUGUGUACUCUUUUUCUCUCCCAGUUCUGGGAAUUGAAUUCAGGGGCACUCUACCACUGAGCUAAAUUCCCAGCCCUUUUUAUGAGCUAGAGUCUAAUUUGCCCAGAUCAUCCUGGAAUUGGGAAUCCUCUUGCCUCAGCUUCCUAAGUCAGUGGGAUUAUAGGCGUAUACCACUGUGCCCAGCUCAAAUUUUGCAACACAUGUCCAAGAGUUUUUUCUUUUUUAACCCAAAACAUCUCUAUUUUUUUAGUUUUCAAGAAACAAAUUUCUUCCAUUUCCAAGAUAAUCAUGAUUAACUUAGAAAAAUGGUCAUACAUCUUAAAAGCAUUUCCCUUUAACAGGAAAAUUAACUGUAGAGAAUCUAAACACUGCUUUCCAAUUUGUAUUGAAGUGAAAAAUAAUACUUAAGCUAUAGACUAGAGUGUAGGAGACUCCACCAACCUCUUUGUGUUUGUCUCAGAUAGGCUAAUAUGUGAUGUACCUCAUUAAGUUUUUGAGUCAGGUUAAGACAUGCUAAUAGAAGUUUUUUGAAACUUCUAUAUAAAAUUUUAUGGUAUUAAUUUUAGAAUGUCUUAAAGUUUUUGUUAAUGGUGAGAGAGUUCAGUAUAUCCUUUGAUACAUGACUAGCAAAAUUUUUUUUUUUCAGGUUUCUGUUCUUUUUAAAGACUUUUCAGAUUCAUGUAUUUCCUUUAUUAGGGCAAAUGGAAAGAUCUCAGACUUGCAUGAUUCUUUUAGCCACUAGGAUUUAAAAUUCAAAUCUUACCUAGAUUAUUUUUAUUCUUAAUCAUUUCCUCCUCUAAAGAUUGACUUCUUUCCUUUUUCCUUCUUCAUUUCCAUAGUGGGGAUUGAAUUCCUGGGUGAUCUACCACGAGCUAUUUUUUAUUUUGAAACAGGAUAUCACUAAAUUGCUCAGGCUGGUCUGGAAUUUGCAAUCCUCCUGCCUCAGCCUCUGGAGUAGCUGGGAUUACAGACAGAGUCACUGUUACUGUGCCCUGCCUCCUCUGAUUUCUUAGGAACUAAUUACUAUCUUUGUGGUAGAAGCAAAACCAAACAAAAACAAGAAACCACCACCACCACCAACAACAACAACAAAACUAAAUCCACCUUGGAUUAGUACAACAAAUGGUUCUUAAAACCUGGGCUAAUACAGGAGGCUAAGGCAGGAGGAUAGAUUCAAUCUCCAGUCACAAAAGAAAACAAAACAGAAAUCUUAGUUUUUUUUCCCCUCCCCUCUUUAUGGACUGGGGAUUAAACCCAGGGUCUUAUGAGUGCUAGGUUAGUGCUUUACCAGUGAACUACAUUCUCGCCCCUUUUAAAUUUUAUUAUCAGACAGGGUUUUGCUAAAUUGCCCAAGCUGGUCUCGAACUUGUGAUCCUUCUGUCUCAGCCUACCGAAUAGUUGGGAUUAUAGGUGUGCCCCACUAUGCCCUGCUCCUGAAUUACAUUUUAAAUUUUGCAUAAAAUAAUCUUAUUCAAGUUGCAAAUCUUUAUAAUUGCCUCGUCUGUGUAUCCAGUGUGUGACCUCCAAAAUAUUGUCAGAGUAAGCAAAAAUCAUUUUUUAAGAAUUUGAUUUUGUGCACUCCCCCUUACACUGUAAUAGUGAAUAAAUCUUUUCCUCUUUAGCAUCACAAAGAUGCUAUUUUGAGGGGUUGAAUUACUUUCAGAAUGUUGAUGUGAAAGGAAAGAGAUCAGGUUACACAUUCUUUGUUCCAGACUGCCACUGUACUUCAAGUUUGGAGCUGCACUGGGGAAGAUAGAAUAUGCAUUUGCCACAAAAUCUUCCACCCUACCCCUACUUGAGGAGCAAGAGAAUUAGGCAGUUUCUCUGACAUGGCCUACCCUAAAGAGAACGAGUUUAACUUUAGUAUUUGUAGAACUUGCUACUUAUUUUUUCUUUUAGAGUCUUUAAUUUUAUAUAAUUUAGCAUUUCAAGAAGUCAGAAGAUUAUAUCUUUGUAUUAGGAGAUAUUUUAAAAAUGAUAAUGUUAUUUUGAGAAUACUUAUAUUUUAAUAAUGCAGUUAAACAAAUUUACUUCUAAUUUAUAUUGAAUAAAUUGAGAGUAUAUAAAAUUAUAUUUUGAAUAAAAUAUUACUGUCUUGGCAUAAAAUAGAAUUACUUAUAUGUUUCAAAACUGGUAGUAAAAAGUUCCCAAAGCAGAUGCAGUAUUUCUUUUGUUUCUUUGAUGCUGUUAGAUAAAUGAAGACUUUAAAAAGAGUUUUCACAUAAAAAUUUUCAUAAAAAAUUCCUGUGCCAUAUUCUGAAUGAUAAUUUGACUGUUUAUGGUAUAAUUUUUCUCAGUUCAGUUUCAAUUAGAGUAUAAACUUUUUAAUCUUUAAGGAAUCAUUUAAACAAUUUUAGUUAUUAAAAUUUGAAUGUUAUUCUUUAAUUUUUUUUUUUUUUUUUUUUACUUAUAGAUGGACACAGUGUCUUUACUUUUUUAAUUGAUUUAUUUAUUUUUAUAUGGUGUGAUGCUGAAGAUUGAACCCAGGGCCUCACACAUGUGAGGCAAGCACUCUACCAUUGAGCUACAACCCCAGCCUCUGAAUGUUGUUCUUAAAACUGUCUUUACAUGCAACUGGUCCCAUUUCUGAGAGUUUAAGAAGCUUAAAUAUUGUUUGUGAAGUGAUUAUAUCUGUAUUAAACAUUAUAAGUCCAUUAAGAAGUACUCAAGUUUUUAUUCUAGGUAAUUUUAAGUAUUAUUUAUUUUCAUCAGUUUACUACUUUUCUGAAGAAAGUCAAUAUAAUUACUAACAAAAUUAAUUGUACCAUUCUUUUAAAAAAUAUUUAUUUUUUAGUUGUAGAUGGACACAAUACCUUUAUUUCACUUGUUUAUUUUUAUGUGGUGCUGAGGAUCAAACCCAGGGUGAGGCAGCGCUCUACAGCUGAGCCACAAACCCAGUUCCUAAUUGUAUCAUUCUUUGUAACAAUCUUUUUUUUUUUUUUAAAGAGAGAGAGAGAGAGAGGAGAGAAUUUUUUAAUAUUUAUUUUUUAAUUCUCGGCGGACACAACAUUUUUGUUUGUAUGUGGUGCUGAGGAUCGAACCCGGGCCGCACCCAUGCCAGGCGAGCGCGCUACCGCUUGAGCCACAUCCCCAGCCCUGUAACAAUCUUUUUAAUGUUUUGAGAUUAGGUGCUGUAUUUUCUUAACAGGAUAUUAUACCAGUACACUUCCAAAAGAGAAAACAUACAGCUAAUAAAACUAGUUGGUAGGUUUUGGGACUUGAUACUUUGUUUUGUCCUGCUCACACAGGUUUUAUUCUCUCUAGCUCAUGAUUUAGUUAUAAUUUAUUUACACAUUUUUGCCCAAUGAUUUGCUGUCAUACUUGGUUUUCUGUGUUGUGGUUCCAAUUCUCUAGCUUUGUCUUUACUUCUCUUUUAUGCUUUAUCCCUUCUGUCUCCCUGCAUAUUUAGUAAGUCCCAGCUUUACCUCCUCCAUGAAACCUUAUUUUCAAAUCUGGGCUCUUGGUAAUUUCUUCCUUUUCUGUGCUUUGGUAGAGUAUAUAAUGCCAGUAUGUACUAUCAUUUUUCUUCUUGCUUAUUUGUUUCAUGUCUUUAAUGUGAUUUUAAAUAAUGAUACUAGCUACUGUUUGUAUACCCGAUAUAUGCCAACUACUGUGUCAUUAUUGUUGUUAUUAUUAUUAUUUGGUAUCAGGGAUUGAACCCAGGGAUGCUAAACCACUAAAUCACAUCCCCAGCCCUUUUAAUAUUUUAUUUAGAGACAGGGUCUAGCUAAGUUGCUUAUGGCUUUGCUAAAUUGCUGAGCCUGACUUUUGAACUUGCAAUCUUCCUGCCUCAGCCUCCUGAGCUGCUGGGAUUAUAGGCAUGGACCACUGCAUCUGGCUACUGUGUCAUUAUUAUGGAUUUUUAAAAUAACCGGGUAGGGUAGGUAUUGGCAUACAUCUGAGGAAAUUCAGAGCCAGCUACACUGUGCCAGAGUUUAGUCACACAUUUUUCUCUUUGGCUUCCUUCACACAUAUUUGGUAUCUUAAAACAUUAGAUGUUUAAUAAAUUUGAGAUGAUUACUUGACUCAGUUUGGUUUACUUUUUAUAAAAGAUGGUUUUUGAAGGGGUGAGAGAAAUAGUCUUAGAAUUUGUGAAUUUUUCUUUCAAGUUGCAUAGUUUUGUCAAGCAACACCGUGGGCUUUUCUUCUAAACUUCCAUGUGCCUAAAUGUAAACCUGUUCCAGAAAGACUGAAGUGUGGUUCCCUAUCAUGCCAAGAAAUCUGUAUACUGAAUGAUGCAGGAAGGUGUUUGAAACUGAGUAGUGAGAAUAGGUUUGUGCUAUAGGAUAUAUUGUUUAAAUUAUUAAGAUAAUAUAAUUUAUGUUUAAAAUUCAAUAUAGGUAAACCUGAUAAAUGGGAAAAAUGGAGGUAAUUUCAGGAAAAAUUUAAAAAAUUUUUGAAUCUUCAAAACUUUGUACAUUUGCUGUUAUUUAGAUUUAAAAAAUCAUUAAUUGGGUUAGAGUUGUGGCUCAUUGGUAGAGCGCUCGCCUCACAAGUGCGAGACCCUGGGUUCGAUCCUUAGCACCACAUAAAAAUAAAUAAGUGAAAUAUAGAUAUUGUGUCCAACUUCAACUAAAAAAAUAUAAAAAAUCAUUAAUUGCUAAUGAAAUUUGAGAUACAUUUUUGACAUCUUGUAUUUCAUUGAAGAUCAUGAAUGCUUUAUAUCAUUCUUAUAAGAAUCAUAUUUUUAAAACUUGAAGAUCAUUCCUUUUUUGGUGUCAGUUUUUUACUAGUUAUAUUCUACUUUAGGAUUUGCUUUUGUAGCUUCCUAACCUGGCAUUUUUGUGUCUUUUAAAAAAACCAAGUAAUUGGACCAUUUAUCACAAUCUGCCUACUUAAAAAAAAAAAAUACUAGUAUUGGGGCUGGGGUUGUGGCUCAGCGGUAGAGCGCUCGCUAGCAUGUGAGAGGUCCUGGGUUCAAUCCUCAGCACCACAUAAAAAAAUCAAUAAAUAAAAUAAAGGUAUAAAAAAAUUAAAAAAACUAGUAUAAAAUUCUUUUGCAUGUUAUCUGUAAAAGGAGCAUUUUAAUCAUUCUGUCCACAUUUGAUAAGUGUUGCUGAUUUUUUAAAAAAAAUUAAGUUAUAUAAUGUGCUUUAAUUUUUUAAACGUUCAUUGAACUUUGGACUUAAAUCAUGUCAAGGGUUUUACUUUUUAAAAUACUGAGGUUUAUUAUUUGUGUGAGUGUCUUAAUUGAAAAAUGAAUGGCUUCAAAAACAUCAAAAUAGAGCUGGGUGCUUGGUUGUGCAUGCCUAUAAUUUCAGCUAUUAAGAAAGUUGAUGCAGGAUUACACGUUUGAGGCCAUUGGGGGCCUUUUUGAGAUCUAUCUCAAAAAUAAAAUGAAAAGUGCCAAUGAUGCAGUUCAGUGGUAGAGAACUUACCUACUACACGCUGGGUCCUGGGUUCAAUCUCUAAGUCUGCCAAAAAAAAAAAAAAGAGAGAAAAAGAUCAAAAUUGAAGACCUGCACAUAGAACCAUACUUUAGGACAUAUAUGCAUAAAAUUAUGUAUUUAUAGCCAGGCAUGGGGGCCCAUACCUGUAAUCCCAGCUUCUCUGGAGGUAGAGGCAGGAGGAUCGUGAAUUCAAAGCCAGCCCUAGCAACUUAGCAAGGCCCUAAGCAACUCAGAGAGACCCUCUUUCUAAAUAAUAUACAGAAAAGGGCUGGGGAUAUGACUCAGCAGUUAAGUGCCUCUGGGUUCAAUUUCUGGUACCAAAAAAAUAUGUAUAUAUGUGUGUGUGUGUUUAUAAGAUAUUAAUGUAAACUUCAGAUUCUGUAAUAUUUUAAGGAAACCACUUCAUUUUAACAGAGCACUUUGUGUGUUUAUACAUUGGUGCUGGGGCAUGUGCUUUACUGCUGAACUACAACCCCACCCCCAGUUGGUCUUUCUACUUUUCUAGUUACAUUGAGAUUUUGCCCAGUAAUGUCGUUUUGCUUAAACCUACACACAUCAAAGCUAUCUAGCACCCUGUUUUAAGUCUGCUUCGUGGCAUUUAUUUUAAGUGUAAUUUAAUUAGAACUUGCAUGCACAUUUCUUUUAGAUCUGCUUCCAUUCUUAGGAACUGUAAACUCCAUGUGAGUGGGGAAUUUUACUUGGGUUGUCAUGUUAGGGGCCUGGCACACUGCCUUGUCUAGCAUAUGUACUUUGCAGCAGCAGGCAGUACUUUUCUGUAGUCUUCUUUAAUUAUAUUAAUAAAAGAGCUUUGGUUUUUGCAAGGUUUUUAGAGGCUCUGGAGAGAAACAUUAAUCAAUAAGAUCUAACUUGAAUUAAUUGUUUUAAAAAUACCUGACUAAUGAUAUAAUGAACAGAGAAUAUUAAUGAAAUAAGAAUUUAAGGAGUCAAAGUUAAGUUUUUUUGUUUGUUUUGUUUUGGUGGAGGAGCUUGAACCAGGGGUGCUUAACCACUGAGCUAUAUCCUCAGCCCUUUUUAUUUUGAGACAGGGCCUUGCUCAAUUGUUGAGAGACUCAUUAAAUUGCUCAGGCUGUCCUUGAAUUUGCAGUCCUCCUGCCUCAGCCUUUGAGUCACUAGGAUUAUGUGUACCUCUAUGCCCCACUGAAGUUAAGGUUUUAAUAUCUUUACUUGGCCAGGUAUGGUGGUACAUGCUAUAAUCCCAUUAUUGUCUAUGGAGAUCAAGGCAGGAAGAUUGCAAGUUCGAGGCGAGCCUGGGUAAGUUAAUGAGAUUCUGUCUCAAAAUAAAAACAUAAAACAAACAUGUAGCUUGGUGGUAGAGUGCCCCUGGAGAUAUAGCUCGAUGGUAGAGUACCCGUGGUUAGUCUCUGAUACCACAAAAACAAAAAAACAUAACAAAACAUACACACAUACUCAAAAAAACCAAAACCACACACACAUAACAACAACAACAAAAUCCCCCAAACCUUUACUUUGUAACACCAUGGGCUUUUUCUUCUAUUGUGAUUUAAGAUGGUUGUAAUUGUUCAUUAUUGAUGAUACCUAUCAAAAGGCGAGCUUGAACAACCAUUUCUGCUGGAUUCUGAAUGCUGAGAAACAGAAACUGAACUUUGUGAACUAUUACAAGUCAUCUGUAAAAUGAGAUAAUAAAAUUGACUUCUCAAAGUGUAAUUUAGACUUUCAUGGAAUACCAUAGUCUGAAAAUGCUUAGCAAUGUGCCUGUCACACUGUAGGUGUUUUAUAAAUGUUAAUUGUCAUAAAUUUGCUAGGUAUAAGAAAAUGUCUUUCCUCAAAAGCAAUUGUAGUUGGGUGAGGUGGCCCAUGCCUGUAAUCCCAGUGGCUCAGGAGGCUGAGACAGUAGAAUCUCGAGUUCAAAGCCAACCUCAGCAAAAGCGAGGUGCUAAGCAACUUAUUGAGAACCUGUCUCUAAAUAAAAUACAAAAUGGGGCUGGGGAUGUGGCUCAGUGGUUGAGAGUUCCUGAGUUCAAUCCCCAGCAUCCCCCUCCUCCAAAAAAAAAAAAAAAAAAAAGCAGUUGUAAAUUUAAAAAUGAAUUUGCUGCCCAUCUCAAACCUAUAUAAAAAUAUGGUAUUUAACUUUUAAAAAGAUGUUUAAUAGCAAUUGUUGUUGGCAGGUCUUUUAGCUCCACUUUGAGUCUUUGCAUUGUGUAUAAUAUGGAAAGACUUGGAAUAAAUGUAUGGGCCAGGGCAGCUUAUAUAAAAAUGCUAAAUAAUUUUCAGUGUGGCUGAUAAAAAUUUAGAAGUACCACUGCUUGGUGUGGUGAUACAUGACUAUAAUCCCAGCAGCUUCAAGAAAAUAAAAAAGAGUAUCAUUUAGUUUGUUCAUGAAAUCUAUGAGAAUUUUGACUAUUUCUAUACUUUGUUUGGUCUAUUCAUUGGUUCAUUCCUAUCAGAAGUCUCUAAUUGAGCCUUGUAUCUUGUAGAAAUUGUAAGGAAAAGAAACUAUUUCUUAACAAGCUGGUACCCUUUAUCUCCUUACUUGGUAUCCAGAUGUUUAAGGGAAUGAUCUAUCCACAAAACUUGCCUUUUUUUUUUUUUUUAACUGUUUAAAAUCCUCCAUCCACUCUUCUUUUUCCUUUUUUUUUGGUACCGGGGAUUGAACCCAGGCUACUUUAUCACGGAGCUACAUCCCAGCUUCCCCCCUCCCCUUAAAAUUGUUGUAAAUGUACACAACACCUCCAUUUAAUUAAUUACUUAAUUUUUAUGUGGUGCUGAGAAUCAGACCCAGUGCCUCAUACUUACUAGGCAAACGCUCCACCACUGUGCUAUACCCCCAGCCCCAGCCUAGCUUGUGUUUAUUUUUUUAUUUUGAGACAGGGUUUCACUGAGAACUGCUGUGGCUGGCUUUGAACUGGAUGGCUUUGAACUUGCAAUCCUUUUGUCUCAGCCUUCCAAGCUACUGGGAUUAUAGGUAUGCCACCAUGCCCAGCUCCUAUCCCAUUUCAUAUGCUACCUGUCCCCCCCACCCCCGCGCCUUGUUUGUGUUAUUGAUGGCCUCCAUGGUACCAGAUUUUCUGUCCUAUGUCUUUCAGCCUCUCAGUAGCUUUUAACACAACUAGCACCUCUGCACCAGACUCUUAGCCACUGUGGCAUGAUGCUGUUGCCUUCUGUAUCUUUUAUUAUGGUCCAGGUAGUGGUGAGGGACAAUCUAAAUCAGAACUAAGGAUUGUAUCUUGCUGGCUUCCACCCUUUUUCUGAAGUCUUUAAGCCUGUGUAUAGUCAGUAUCAUAAUUUAGGUCUUAUUCCGUACACCCUGCAUUUUGAGCUAAUUUAUGAAAUGACAAGAGAAUUUGGAAAGUAAAAAUAACUGUGUUAAAGAAUCUAAAUUACAUUUGGAAUAAUUCUUGCCUCUAUGUUGCAGAUACAAAUGCUUAAAUAACUGUGAUGGACAGGGAAAAGAUACUAGGAAUUUGACAUGAAUUAUCACAUUUAAAUAAACAGCGUUUUUUUUUUUUCUCCCUAGAGGAAAAUUGUGGUUACAACAUGUGAUUGAACCUGUCUAGUUUCAAGUAGUGUUCAGAUUCAGAUUCAGUGGUUCAAGCUUGAAAGAGAAACAGGAAAAAAGAAGUUCUUGCAGGUGCUUCUCAUUCUUUAAUCUAGAAUAUUAGUUUUAAUUAAUUAAAAAAUAUGCAUCUUAAUAUUUUUUAAAAAUAUUUUUUAGUUGAAGUUGGACACAAUACCUUUAUUUUAUUUAUUUUUAUGUGGUGCUAAGGAUUGAACUUAGGACCUCGCACGUGCUAGAUGAGUACUCUACCGCUGAGCCACAACCCCAGCCCCACAUUUUAAUAUUUGAAUAUCAGUUAGUCAGAAGUUACCUGGAUUUUAGAUCAGUUUUUUCAUUCCAACUAAAGCUAGCAGUCACAGAAUUAUGAGGGGGGGAAAGUACUUUUAUUACUAGUUAUUAUAAGAACUCAGUUGUCAAAUCAGAGUUGAAAAUUAUUCUUUUUAAAAUGAAGUCAUUUGAGUAGAAUAAAAUAUUCUCACAGUAACUACCCUAGCCACAACUCUAAAGCAGGACAUGUCCCUGGCUUAUUAAGAUUGCUACAUUAAAACAAAAAUUUAUUAUGCAUUGUUAAGUUUAAUAACAAUUUACAUCAGCCUUUUUCUUUUUUGUUUCUGCUUUUGAUCUCAAACUUAAAAAUUUCUUCCCCAUUGCAAUAGUGUUUUCAAGGUCUUAUAUAAUCUUAGAUUUUACAUUCAAACCGUCUAUCUGGAAUUAAUUUUGUUGCAUGAGGUAAGGAUCCAUUUUUUCCCCCAAGUGGUUAGAAUAUUUCUCUCAAUAUCAUGGGGCUGGGAUUGUGGCUCAGUGGUAGAGCGCUCGCCUAGCAUGGGCGGGACCUGGGUUCCUCGAUCCUCAGCACCACAUAAAAAUAAAGGCAUUGUGUUGUGUUAAUCUACACCUAAAAAAUAAAUAUUAAAAAAACCAAUACAUUGUGUCGAUCUAAAAUGUUGCUUUUAUUAUAUUCUUCCAUAUAUGUAGAUUUACUUUUGGUUUCUUGACUGUGGAAUCACUAUAUUAGUAAUCUUUCAGUACAUUUUAUUAUUUGGUAAGGUAAAAAUAUUUGUUACCUUUUCAAAGAUUGAGGAUAUUUUACUUUGUUUUUUCAAAUGUCUUUAUAGCAUUCUUUGGGUUUGAUUUCAUUCAAAAAUGUUAACAUUUCUAUAUUGGUUUAGACAGAACUGCCCUUUUUAUAGAAUGUAAUUUUUUAAUUAAUAAAAUGGCAUGCCUCCUUUCAUUAAUUUUUUUUUCUUGAUACUGGGGAUUGAACCCAGGGGUUCUUAAACACUGGGAUACAUCCCCAGUCCUUUUUUAUUUUUUAUUUAGAGACAAGGUCUCUCUGAGUUGCUAAGUGCCUCGCUAAUCUGCUGAGGCUGGCUUUGACUCGAGAUCCUCCUGACUCAGCCUCCCGAGUUGCUGGGAUUACAGGUGUGAUCCACUGUGCCUGGCUUCAUUAGUCUUUUUGACUUUAAAUAGUUUUAUAGUUUUUCUUACAUAUGUUGGGAAGCUAUUAUAAGGGAGAUCAUUUUUCCAUUAUAUUUUGUAAUCAGUUUUUGUUAGUACACAGGCAACUUAUCAAUUGUACAUUAAACCAUUCAGUGUAUUCUAUUCUUUAGUAUCUGUUUGCAGUUGGAUUUAAUUUAUACAAAAUGCACUCAUUGUAAAGAUAAUUCAUUGAGUUCGGUUAGUUUUUAAAUACCAUGUGGCUUUCUUUAUAGUGCAAGGUUUGGUUUCUUCAAUCAUUUUGUGAAGAUAAGUGAAUAACAACCUAAGUAUUUGUGUAUUUUUUACUUAUUUAUUUAUUUUGGGCAUGGGGAUUGAACUGAAAGGCACUCAACUACUGAGCUACAUCCCCACCCUAUUUUGUAUUUUAUUUAGAGACAGGAUCUCCCUGAGUUGCUUCGUGCCCUGUUUUUGCUGAAGCUGGCUUUGAAUUGUGGUCCUCCAGCCUUAGUCUUCUGAGCCACUGGGAUUACAGGCAUGUGCCAUCUUGCCCUGCAUAUUUGGUUUUUAAAUCAUCUUUAUUUGGUAAAAGUAUAUCUCAGAUCUGUAAACAGUUUUAAAUUUACUUUAGCAUAAAGAUCUUUUUUUAUCUUUAACUCUCUAAUAUGUUCCUUUGUCUGUUUUGACUGAGAAUAGUAGAACUUCAUUACCUUGCUGUUGGAGAGACUAGCCAUCCAAAAUCAAAGUGGCAUUAGAACUGUGCAUGGAUCUGUUCCUGACCUCUUUUCUAACUUCUAGUAAUCUCAGUCAUUUCUUGAGUUUUAGAAUCUGUCUCUCUUUAUAAGUCUGUGUUUAAAUGUCUUUUUUAAAAAUUAGGAUACCAGUCAUUGGACCAGGGUUCACUCUUAAUAACCUCAUUUUAACUUGAAACUCUUGAUUACCUAUUUCCACAUAAGGUCAAAAAGGUUAGGACUUCAACAUAUGAUUCUGAUUAUUUAUGUUUUUAUUUUUACUUGUUAUUUUGAAAUAAUUUUAUAUUUAGGAAAGAGAUAGGAAUAGCAUUGUGAACUCCCAUAUUCUCCGUUCAGAUUCACAUAGUUAACAUUUUUUCUACAUUUAUUAUGUCUGUUAAAGUUUGUGUAUAAGAAAUAUUUGGCUGUUAGUACUGGCAAACUCACCAAGGUUUCUGAAGUUAAGCUGUACGCUCAAGAAUGUAUUUCAUCAAUCCUAAAAUGCAUUUAACUGUGUAAUUAACAGGUAUAGAAAUAUCAAUAUUCUGUGUCCCAAAAAAGUGAUGCCAGUUAAACAGUGAUAUGCUGCUUUUAAGAGGCAUACUGAUUUCACAAUAGGGUUGAUGAAUCAUUUGGAGUCAAUAAAAUAUAAAAAUGCAUCAUUGAAAUAUAUAUAAUAGAAUGCAUAUUUAAUAUAUGUGCAUAUAUGUAUAUAUAUGUGUGUGUGUAUAUAUAUACACACACACACACACUUUAGAAAUUUAAUUUUUAGAGUAGUUUUCGGUUCAAAAGCAAAAUUGAACAAUACAAAGUUUCCACAUACCUGUACUCACAUAUGCAUAAGCCACCACUGCCCUAUUAUUAGUAUCUCACACCAGAAUGGCGCAUGUUACAGUUGAUAACCUACAUUGACACAUCAUUACUAUGCAGUGUCUAUAGUUUAAAUUACAGUUCAUUCUUGAGAGUAUAACUUAAAGUGUCUUGACAAAUGUAAAAUGACAUGUCCUCCAUUGUAGUACUAUACAGCCUAAUUUCAACUACCCUAAAAAUUCUCUGCUAUGUUUAUUUUCCCUUCUUCUCUUCAUCCCUGGCAACCAUUGAUCCUUUUUAACUUCUCCAUAGUUUUAAUAUUUCCAAAAGGUCACAAUUGCAAUCACAACUCCAUUGGAUUCUUUAAUGUAGAAAUACACAUUUAAGUUUCCUCCGGUGUCUUUUUGCGGCAUUUAUUUUCAGUGCUGAGUAGUAUUUCAUUGUCUGGAUAUAUCACAGUUUAUCCACUUACCUAGAGAAGGACUUCAUGGUUACAUCCAAGUUUGGCAAAUUAUGAAUAAAACAGCAAUAAAUUUCUGUGUACAGGUUUUUACAUGGAUAUAAGCUUUCAGCUCCAUUAUGUUAAACACCAAGGAAUGCGGUUGCUGGAUCAGAUAGCAAGAGCGUGCUUAGCAUUUUAAGAAACUGUCAAAACUAUCUUCCAAAAAGGAUGUAACAUUUUGCAUUUCUACCAGCAGUGAAUGAGAGCUCCUUUUGCUCCAUAUCCUUGCCAGCUUUUGAUGUUGUCAGUGUUCUGGAUUUUGGUUGUUCCAUUGCAUGUGUAGUGGUAUCUGUUUUUGGUUGAUGAUAUAUGGAGCUUCUUUUCAUAUGCUUAUUUGCCAUCUGUAUGUCUUCUUUGGUGAGGUGUCUGUUAAGACUUUGGUAUCCCCCGCUUUUUUUUGGUAUUGGGGAUUGAACCAAGGGGCACUUAACCGCUAAGCUACAUCCCCAGCCCUUUUUUAUUUGUAUGAUUUUGAGCUGGGUCUCACUAAGUUCCUCAGGGCCUUGCUAAGUUGCUGAGGCUGGCUUUGAACUUGUGGUCCUCCUAUCCAACCUUUCAAGUUGCUGGGAUUGUAGGCUUGUGUCAUCUUGCACAGCCCCAGUUUUUUUUUUUUCUUUUAGGAUGUUAAUGGACCUUUAUUUUAUUGAUUUAUUUAUAUGCGAUGCUGAGAAUCGAACCCAGUGCCUCACACAUGCCAGGUAAGAGCUCUACCACUGAGCCGUAACCCCAGCCCCAAGUUUUUUGUUUUUUUUUUUUAAUAUUUGAACAACCAGCCCCAGCUUUUAAUUGUGGUGUUUGUUUUCUUAUUAAGUUUUAAAAAUUCUCUUGAUAUUUUGGAUAAUAGUCCUUUAUCUGUGGUGUCUUAAUACAGAUAAUUUUUCCUAGUCUGUGGCUUGUUGUCUUAUUCUCUUGACAGUGUCUUUUAUGGAACAGAAAUUUUAUAAUUUUAAUGAAGUCUAACAUUAAGUAUUUCAUGAAUUGUACAUUUCCAAUCUGUAUAAUUUUUAUUUCCUUUUCUUGGCUUUUUACAUUAAUUAGAACUUGCAGUAUGGUGUUGAAAAGGAUUGGUAAAAGGUGACAUCUUUGCCUUGUUCCUGAUCUCAUUAUAAAGCUUUUUUAAAUUUCUCACCAUUAAGAAUGUUAAGAUAUAGGUUUUGUAGCUGUUUGUCCAUUUAAGGAAUUUCCCCUCUGUUGCUGGUUUUCUGAGAGGUUUUUUAUUUGUUUGUUUUGUACUGGGGAUUGAAUCUAGGGGAACUCUACCAGUGAGCUAUAUUCCCAGCCCUUUUGAUUUUUUGUUUUGAGACAGGAUCUCCCUAAAUUGUUCUGGCUGGCCUAGAAUUUAUAAUCCUCCUCCCUCAGCUUCCCUAGUUGUUGGGAUUAUAGUCAUGUGCCACCAUACCCAGUGUUUUCUGAGAGUUACUAUGAAUGAGAGUUGGAUUUUGUCAAAUGCUUUUUCUUUUUUUUCUUUCUCUUUCUCUUUGGCACGGUCUUACUGUGUUUCCCAGGCUGGUCUUGAACUCCUGGGUUCAAGUAAUCCUCCUGCCUCAAUCUUUUAGAUAGCUGGUACUAUAGAUGUGCCCUACUGUGCCUGGCUUGUCAGAUGCUUUUUCUGCAUCUGUUGAAAUGAUUGUGUUGCUUUGCAUCUUCUUCUUCUUCUUCUUUUUUUUUUUAAAUAUUUAUCAUUUUAGUUUUAGGUGGACACAGUAUCUUUAUUUUUAUGUGGUGCUGAGGAUCGAACCCAAUGCCUCAUGCAUGCUAGGUGAGCGCUCUACCACUGAGCCACAACACCAGCCCUGUUUUGCUUCUUUAAUUGGUUGAUAUGGUUGAUUUCAUUAACUAGGUUUUUGUUGUUGUUGUUGUUGUUGUUGUUGUUGUUUGGCAUUAGGAAUUGAACCCACAGGUGCUUUACCACUGAGCUACAUCCCCAGCCCUUUGUAUUUUUUAUUUUGAGUUGGGUUUUGCUAAGUUACUUAGGCCUUGCUAAAUUGCUGAGGCUGGCCUCUAACUUGAGAUCUCUGGCCUCAGCUUUCCAAAUUGUGGGAUUAAAGGUGUGCAUCACCAUGCCCAGCACAUGGAUUGAUUUUUGAAUGUUGAGUUGUCCUUGAAUAAUGGGUAUACAUUCUACUUGUAUAAAAUUCUUUUUAUAGGUUGUUGAAUUUGAUUUGCUGUUUUAUUGAGGAUUUUUGCAUUUGUGUUCAUGAGAAUCAUGAACAUCUUGUAACAUCUUGGUCUGGUUUUAGUAUUAGUAUAAUGCUGGCCUUAUGGAGUCAAUUAGGAAGCAUUCCCUCUGUUUCUGUCUCUUGAAAAGAACUUACAGAGAAUUGGUAUAAUUUCUUCCUUAAAUGUUUGAUGGAAUUCACCAGUGAGCCUUUUGGGCAUAAUGAUUUCUGUUUUGGAAGAUUAUUAUUCCAAUUUCUUUCUUUCUUUCUUUUUUUUAAAAUAUUGUUAGUUGUAGACACAAUAUCUUUAUUUGUUUUUCAAUGUGGUUCUGGGAAUUGAACCCAGUGCCUCACACAUACUAGGCAAGCGCUCUACCAUUGAGCCACAACCCCAUCCCUAUUUUAAUUUCUUUAAUAGAUAGGGCUGUUCAGAUUGUGUAUGUCUUGUGUGAGUUUUGCCAAAUUAUGUCUUUCAUAGAAGUGCUCCAAGUCAUCAUAUUGGUCUGUUAUUAAAUUUCUGGGUGUAGAGUUGUUUAUAAGUUAAGUAUCUUUUAUCCAAAAUAUUUAGGACCACAAGUAUUUUGGUUAUUGGAAUAUUUGCUUAUAUAUAAUAAGAGAUCUUGGGGAUAGGACUCAAGCCUAAACAGAAAAUCAUUAGUUUCUUAUAAACUUUACUUGCAUAACCUGAAGAUAGUUUUACAUGAUAUUUUUUUUAAAAGAAACUUAUAUUCUUUUUUUUAAAUAUUUAUUUUUUAGGUAUAGAUGUAGUGCUGAGGAUCGAACCCGGGUCUCUCCUGUGCUAGGAGAGCGCUCUACCGCUGAGCCACAAUCCCAGCCCUUUACGUGAUAUUUUUAACAUGCUUACACUAUGAACCCUUCAUCUGCCAGAUGCUCAGCCUGUAUUCCUUUAUCAUCUUUAUAGUAAUGUACGUUUAGAGAGAAUCUGUGGUUCUGUCUCCUUUCAUUUCGAUAUUUGUAGUUUGUGCCAUCAUUUCCCCCCUUAGUUAUCCUAGCUAAAGGCUUAUCAAUUUUGUUGAUCUUUUCAGAGAAUCAGCUUUUGGUUUUGUUCAUUUUCUCUAUUCCUGUUUUCAUUAGCAUUAAUUUCUGAUUUUUAUUAUUUGCUUUCUACUGUUUACUUUGGAUUUAAUUUGCUCUUCAUUUCUAGUUUCCUAAAGUGGAAGCUUCAGUUGAUUUUAUUUUUUUCCCCCAGUAUAUGCAAUUCAGUAUUAUAAAUAUGAAUUAUAUUCUCAUAUUUCUGAGUUUCUCUAUUUCUAAUGUUGUUUUCAUGUUUAUAUAAUCUUAAUGUUUUUUGUUUGGGGAUAGUAGGUUAUACUUCUUAACUGUUUCGUGUGUCUGCCCUUCUGGCAUGCUUUCAGUUGUCUGUAGAGAUGUCAUUUUCUCCCUUGUCUACCCUGCCUCCCUUCUUAUAAUAAAUUGUAUGAGUGUGGAUAUGAAAAAUUUAAUGGGUCAUUUUUAUUGAAAAUAAAUUUUUCUGAAAUUUUUGGAGAAGACAUGUGAUACAGGGCAGCAUUUCUAACUUCACAGAAUUAUUUGGGGUGAUAGUAAAAAGGUGGUAGGUUGCCUUUCCAGAUCUCCCGGUUCUGUUAACUGCGUAUCACUUUUAUGUGGGCCUCGUCUAUCCUUUGUUUCUGUUGCACCUUUCCUGCUCAAAUUUGUUUUUCUUCAGUGCAAGACUUUGUCCUACAAAGGAGGUCUUGUUGGUCAUUUUUGAAGUUCAAAAGGGCUUGACUGCUGCAUCCACUUCAAACCUUAUGACCUUACAGGGCCAUUUGCUAUCAUCUUCAACUGAAUUGAUCAAUUUUCCUAUUCUCAGUUUCAUCUGCAUUUUCACAUUUACUCAUUGAAUAUUCCAGUGAAUACUUCUUUGCUGUUUUGCUGGUAUAAGGACAUGCAAGAGGCAAAGUAGUCCUUACCCUAUCAAGGCCCCAAAAUUGCAGGUAUGACUUUUCUUUAAAAUUGGAGAUAACAGUUCAGCCUAAAAACUGACUUAAAAAUCUGUAUAAGAAACAGUGAUACCCUGGACUUAUUAGCCCCUUUACUGAAUGCUGUCCAUACAGCCAAGUGCCUCUUUGGGGUAAUGGCUUUCUAGUUCUCAUUCACAUUAUUUUCCUUUCAUACUAAGCCUGAGGGAACAUUUAAUUUCUUUACCCCUUGAAGUUAGAUAGGAUCAUGUGACUGAUUCUGGGUACUGGAUUUUGAGGGAAAAUUGUGUUACUUCUGGGUAGGCAUAGUAAAAAGUUCAUGAAGAUUCUCUCUCUCUCUCUCUUUUUUUUUUUUUUUUUGUUGUUUUCUUGAUACAGGGCAAGAUGGUCCAGACUGGAAAUAGACCUGCUUGAUGUCAUUAUACAUAUUACAUGAGUCAAAGUUUUCUUAUGUUGAGUCAUUGAAAUUUUGGAGUUAUAAACACAGCUAUCUGAUAGCCAUCAACCACAUAUGUCUAUUGAGCCUUUGAAAUGUGGGCAGGCCUGAUUGAGAUGUGCUGUAAGUUUAAAGUACAUACCAGAUUUAGAAGACUUACGUAUGCAAAAAAGACUAAAAUAUCUUCUUAAUAAUUUUCAUAUUGAUUACAUAUUGAAAUGAUCUUAGAUCAGCUGGGCUAAAUAAAAACAUUAAGUCAAUUUCAGCUUUUUCUCUAAUUUUUUUCCUGAGGCUGCAUUGCUAGAAAAUAAAAAAUUACACAUUUCUUUUAAAUAGCACUAACCCUACCUGGAGUAAAUUAGUACUCCAUCUCAUCUUGGUAGAAAAUGGUAACUGUUUAUCUAGAGAAGCCAAGCCAGUGGUGGUCCAGAUUUGUAAAGAGUAUAGAAAAUCAAUACACUUUAAGCAGAGGUUAAGCAAAAGCCUACCACUGAUUCAGGAGAUAUACCCGCUUCUCUUAAUUUCUGUCCCAUAUCCCUUUGUAUUUGUUUGCAGAGCACUGGAGGUAUACGCUCCAUCUAGGAGAUUGGAGGAGUCUUCUAAGAAAUUGAAUGGCUCCAGGGAAGAAAUCAACAAAGUCUCCAUAUUAGUACAGGCAGGUGACUGACCAACUAUCUUAAAGUGAAGCCACCAACUUACAAGCCCCAGCUACAACCAGAAAAUAUGUAGUCGGGGUUCAUGAACUUCAUGAAACUGGUAAAGGGAAAGAGAAUAAUAACUGUAGCAGUGAGUCCAUUUGUGUAUUAAGAUAAAGCAAAUAACAACAGUACAAAUAGGAGAAAAUUAGCAUAUCAUCUUUGUGAUUAAGCUCUCCCCCAACAUCUGUAUUCCAUCUUUUUUCCCCCCAGUUUUUUCAAUGUGGUAAAAUACAUACAUACAUAAAAUGUAUGUUCUUAACCAUUUUUAAGUGUAUAGUUCAGUGUAUUAAAAUAUUCAUAAUGUUCUAUAACCAUCACCAUUCAUCUCAGAAUUCUUUUCCUUUUGUAAAAUGGAAAUUAAACUCAUUAAACAAUAAUUACCCCUUUCCCCAGCUUUGGCAACCAACCUCCAUCUCUAAAUACCUCAUGUUAGUAGAAUCAUACUUGUUUUUCUUUUGGUGACUGGCUUAUUUCACUUAGUAUAAUGUCCUGAAGGUUCGCCAUGUGGUAGCAUAUGUUAAAAUCUCCUACUUUUAAAGGCUGAAUCGUAUUCCUUUGUAUGUUCAGGCAUGCUAAUGAGAAUGAUGUUCUGAGAAAUUUGUUGUCAGGUGAUUUUACCCUUGUAUACUCAAUGGAGUGUACUUACACAAACGUAGAUGGCACAGAUCAGUCACUUGAUUUGGUCUCUUAAUGCACUUGAGAAGCAGUAAACACAAAGUGUAUGAAGCUGCUACUGAUGUAACACAGCAUACUGCUUUACCUUUUUAUAAGUACUUUCUGAAAUAAAAAUUGAAAGUAUAGUUUAUACAUAAGCCAGUAAUAUAAUGGUUUAUUAUCAUUAUUGGGUAUUAUGUACUAUAUAUAAUUGUAUGUGCUGUACUUUUCAUAUGACUGAAAGUAUAGUAGGUUUGUUUAUACCAGCAUCAUCACAAACACAUGUGUUAUGGUUUGGAUUUGAGGUGUCCGUGGAGAAAGAAGUACAUGUUAGACAAUGCAGGAAUGUUCACUUGUGAAAUGAUUAGAUUAUGAGACCUGUGACCUCAUCAGUGGAGGUCAUUUUAUCAGUUAAUUUGAGUAGAUUACUGAGUGGUUAACUGUAGGUCACUGUAGGCAGUGGGGCAUGGCUGGAAGAAGUAGGUCACUGGGAAUUAUAUGAUGUGCCCUUGAGGAUUAUAUACCAUAUUCCUUGCUCCUUGAUCACUCUGUCUACUUCCCCCCCCCUCUCUCUGUUUGUCUAUCUCUGUCUGUUUUCUGGCUGCUAAGAACUGAGCAGCUUUCCUUCAUUAUGCCCUUUUGCUAUGAUGUUCUGCUUCACCUGGGGUUCAGAGCUAUUGAGUUGGCCAACCAUAGACCGAACCUCUGAAACCUCAAAGUAUACUUUUCCUUCUCUAAGUCUUUCUGGUCAGAUAUUUUGGUCACAGUGAAGAAACACUAACACAACUUGAGUAAUGUAUUGCACUGUUACAACAUCUUAGGCAAUAGGAAUUUUUCAGAUCCAUUAUAAACUUAUGUGAUCACUGUUGAAAUGUGUCCAGUUUUGACCAAAAUAUCAUUAGGCAGUAAAUGACUAUAUAUAUAAGACAUUUUGAUUAUGGAUUCAUUCAUUGAUGAACACUUGUGUUACUUCCACAUUUUAGCGAUUGUGAAUAAUGCUGCUAUGAACCCCAGUGUACAAAUAAGAGUUCUAGGAACAAUUGUACUCCAGCAAAUUGGAUUAUUAGAUGAUGGACAGAAAAGCUAACAAGACUAAAACAUGAAGAAAUGAAAAAAUCUGAAUAGAUCUAUAACACUAAAGGAGACUGAGUGAUCAAAAAGUCUUUCAAUAGCCAGGUGAAGUGGUACAUACCUGUAAUCCCAGCAAUUUGAGAGGCUGAUUCAGGAGGAUCACAAGUUUGAGAUCAGCCUCAGCAACUUAGCAAGGCCCUAAGCAACUUAGCAAGAAUCUGUUUAAAAAUAAGAAGGAUGGGGAUGGGGUUCAGUGGCUAAGUGCCCCGGAUUCGAUCCUUAGUACCAAAACAAAACACAACAAAACAGAAACCUCCCCAAAAAGAGAAACCCUGGACCUAAUGGCUUCACUGUGAAUUCUAUUAAACAUUUAAAGAACUAAAACAGGUCUUCCUUAAACUUUCCAAAGAAGAGGAAGGAACACUUGUAUCUCUAAAGAUCUCUUAUAUAUUAAGAAUACCAUGUUUUAUGACAGUUUGCUUAUAUUGAGAAACUUCAAUUUUUUAAAAAAUAUUUAUUUUCUAGGUGUAGGUGGACACAACACAAUGCCUUUAUUUUUUUUAUAUGGUGCUGAGGAUCGAACCUGGAGGGUCGCCCAUGCGAGGCGAGCACUCCACUGCUGAGCCACAAUCUCAGCCCAACUUCUCAAUUUUUUAAAAAGUUAAGAUCUUUGCAAAUCUGAGUUUCCUGGAAAACUGCCUUCUUUCCACCAAAGUAGACAUGUAUUCUUGAACUGUGUGGCUUCCUUGACCACUCAUCUCACCUCUUAAAAAUAAUGGCAAUAUAUAUUACCUUCUUACAUUAUUACAGUGAUUGUUGAGAUCACCAGUAGGGUAACAACUCCAGGCAUACCGGGGAUUCUCUGGGUUUUUGAGUAGUGCAGCUUAUAUGCAUGCUGGCUAUGGAGAAGAAAUGAUUUCUCCAGCUUCCUCCAGUACAUACCUGUAAUCCCAGCAAUUUGAGAGGCUGAUGCAGGAGGAUCACAAGUUUGAGAUCAGCCUUAGCCACUUAUGUUUGUAUAUAAAUUGUUCAGAGGAGAGUUGAUCAUGUGAUGUAUAGGCAGAUGAUUUCUCCAGUUGCUGUCCAGCACUGUUCCUACUCCUCUCUGCUUCUCACCCUGCACCUCUUCUCCACCCCUUUGAUUUUGGAAGAUGACUUCACUUUCUACUUCUUAAAUUAAGAUGUUCAAUUUCUUCUUGUUCAUCCACUUCAAAGAUCUCUUUUUUUCUUUUUGUGCUGCUGGGAAUCAAACCUCUAGGACUCUGUGCAUGGUAGACAAGCACUCUGCCACUGAACCACACCCCUAAUCCCAAAUAUCUUUUUGAGCCCUUCUUUUUUAACACGUUUCCUCCUUUUUUCUAAGGCUAGAUUCUUGUGAGACUUUCUUUUCAUUGCCCCUCUCUCCUUCCUUGGCUAUUUUCAGUUUGUUGGCAAACCUGGUGAAAUUUUCUUUAAAUUUAGUAUAUCUCUAGCAAUUAGAGAAAUGCAGAUCAAAACUACACUGAGAUUUCAUCUCACUCCAGUUAGAAUGGCAAUCAUCAAGAAUAUAAGCAACAAUAAAUGUUGGUGAGGAUGUGGGGAAAAAGGCACACUCAUACAUUGCUGGUAGGACUACAAAUUGGUGCAGUCACUCUGGAAAACGGUAUGAAGAUUCCUCAGAAAACCUGGAAUGGAACCACCAUUUUACCCAGUUAUCCUACUCCUCAGUUUAUAAUCAAAGGACUUAAAAUUGGCAUACUACAGUGACACAGCCACAUCAAUGUUUAUAACUGCUCAGUUCACAGUAGCUAAGCUAUGGAACCAACUGCGGUGCCCUUCAACAGAUGAAUGGAUAAAGAAACUCUAGUAUAUAACACAAUGGAAUAUUACUCAGCCUUAAAGAAGAAUGAAAUUAUGGCAUUUGCCACUAAAUAGAUGGAACUGGAGAAUAUCAUGCUACGUGAAAUAAGCCAAUCCCAAAGAACCAAAGGCUGAAUGUUUUCUCUGAUACACGGAUGCUAAUUCACAAUGAGGGGUGGGCAGAAUAGUGGAGUUUUGGACUAAACAGAGGGUAGUGAAGGGAGGGAAGGGGCUAUGGGGGUAGAAAUGAUGGUAGAAUGAAUCGGACAUUAUUACCCUAUGUGCGUGUAUAAUUACAUGACUUGUGUAACUCUACAUCACGUAAAACCAGACAAAUUGUAAAGUUAUACUCCAUUUAUAUAUGAUGUGUCAAAAUGCAGUCUGCUGUCAUGUAUGACUAAUUAGAACAAAUAAAAAACAGUAUAAAUUAGCAAAACCUUCCCUUCUCUGUUACUGCCUUGAGGCUAUAUACCAUUUUCCUUUUCACCUCCACACUUCUCAAAAUGGUCAUGUAUACCUUUAUAGCUCCAGUUACUUGUUAUUUGCUUCUUUCUUGCCAUUGCCAUUUUUUGCAUCACUUGUUUUUAAAUUGUGGGGACCUAGUUCUCCAUGGCUUUUAUUUUUACCUCUUUUGCAUUAUUACCUUUUACUCACUUAAUUUUUUAAAAACCUCACUUUAAAAAAAUUUACCUUGUAAUAGAAAAUUUGAAAAAUACAAUGAAGUAUAAAAAGAAAAUUUUCAACUGUAAUGCCCAAAAUAUUCAUCAUUAAACUUAGGAGUAUAUCAUUUGCAUCUCUCUCUCUUUAAUGCAUUAAAUUAAAAAAUUAUACUUUGCUUAUUUUUUUGUUAUCUGAUCUUUUUCUGUUUUAAUACAUUGUGAAUAUAUUUCCAAUCACUCAUUCUUCUGCAGUAUAACAGUAACCACAUAAAUUGGUAGUGUUGAGAUUGUCCGCUUUAACAUUGGCUUCAAUUUCUCCCUACCUGUGUGACGUGGGACCAGUUACUACUAUGGAUUUUAAUGUCUUGUUCUUGAAAACAAAGAAAACAUUUUAAACUAACUCUUAGGAUUCCUUUAUGUGGCAAAUAAGAAAUAUAUUAAAAAUGAUUCUUGACAAUAACUACUAGCUGUUGUUACAGUGUUAUGUGACUGUACUAUAAUUUGUUUAGAUUACUUCUUUUUGCAUGUUUUUGUUGUCAUUAAUAAGGUUGUGAGACCAUCCAGGUAGUGGGUGCACAUCAUUAUUUUUUAAGUGUAGGUUUUUUCCAAAAUAUUGUUUUAGUUGUUGAUAGUCCUUUAUUUUAUUUACUUAUAUGCAGUGCUGAGAAUCAAACCCAGUGCUUCACACAUGCCAGGCAAGUGCAUUACUGCUGAGCCCCAUCCCCAGCCUCUUAAGUGUAGAUUUUUAAAAAAUGUUUAUUUUUUAGUUGUAGUUAGACUCAAUAUCUUUAUUUAUUUUUAUGUGGUGCUGAGGAUCGAACCCAGGGCCUGCAUGUGCUAGGCGAGCGCUCCACCGCUGAGCCACAACCUAAGCCCAAAGUGUAGAUUUUUAUUAGUAAAAUUAUUGGACUAGUGAGUAUAUGAUACAUCUUGCUAAAUUACCCUCUAGAGAGGUUAUCAUUUAACCUCAUGGGAGUGUACAAGAGACCAUUAGCUUCCUUACAUUUUUCAAGAAAUCUUCAUGCUGACAGAUGUUUGCCACUGCACCCGGCAACCACAAAUAUUUCUUGAUCUACAUUUCAUUCAGGUUUGGCUUCAGAAAGAAAGAGAAUGAGAGCCUGUAAAGAUGUGCACAAAGAUAUGUAGAAAUAGGUUGUGAGUCUUUCUGUUUUGAAAUUUCUCAUAUUUUAUCCUAAAUGAAUUUGAGUCUCCUACUUUAUUUGGAUGCCAGGUUGUAUGUGGAUGAAAUUUUUAAUUACCUUGUAGUCUGAUUUACUAUUUUUUUGGGGGGGGGGCGGUUAGAUUUUUUAAAGACAGCUUUACUGAGAUAAUUUGCAUAACAUGAUUUACCCAUUUAAAGGACACACUUCAGGGGGUUUUGGUAUAUCUGUAGAUAGGUACAACCAUCAGUACAGUCAAUAUUGGAACAUUUCAUCACUUCCAAAUGAAACCCUAUACCCUUUCACUAUCACUCCUUUAUAACUUUUUUAUUUUUAAAUGAUAUUUUCUAUUUUCAAUUUUUUUAUAUUGUAGGUAGUUGGUACAGGAUUUGGGAAGAGAAAGUAUGACAUUUGGAUUAAAAGUUCAGUGUCUGAAGUCUUACUGAUAGGUUGGAAUCCCAGGUCUUCCUUAAUAUCUGUGUGACUUUGGGGGGUUACUUAACCAUCCUGAGCCUGUUUUCUUAUCUGUAGUAUGGAAUUAGUAGUGGUGCUUGCCUCAUAGGCGUAUUUUAAGGAUUAAACAAGAUAAUAAAUAUAUAAAAUUUAGCACAUAAUUGACACAUAGUAUUCAAUAAAUGGAGCUCAAUAAAGGUAUUAUUGGUGUCAUACUUUUGUUCUUAAAUCAUCUAGCAAGUGGUUGGUGCUAGUGGAUAUUGUUAUUAAAUACUGAGUGGUGUUUCUGUCAGUGUUUCUGAAUGUUUUCUGAUAACAGUAUUAGUAAUUUACUCUUAGAAAGUGUUUGCUGUUUGCCUGGCUCUAUUCUAAAUGUUAAACCUUUAUUAACUCCUUUGAUCCUCAUAUUUCAGAUAUGUUCAGUUAUUAUUCCCAUUUAAUGGGAAUUAGAGGAGGUUAAACAACUUGGUCAAAGGAUUUACAACAGGUAAGUAGUAGAAGGAUUCUAACCAGGAUUCUAGCUCUCAGUCUGGGUACAGAACCUGUGCUCUUAUCCCUGUGCUUUUAUCAUUACUGUCUCCUUCCUAAAAGAAUAGUUCAUGGGUUUUUAGGCAUCUUAAUAUCUUGGCUGCUAGAGGAUCUAUAUUGAAAAGGACUGUGAGGUCUUUAGUGCUUGCUUGGAAGAACUAAACUGAGUGGUGAUGUCUGCUCUGGACAUGGACUUCAGGGUGGUUUUGUUUUCCAUCCAGAUCAGAUCACACCUUGAUGGUUCUGCUCUAUCAGCCUAAAAUGAGGACUCUGGGUGGGGCCAGGGCUAGUCACAGGGCACACUUCUUGGGCCUCUUGGAAUGUUUAUUUAAACCUGAACUAUUCCUUCCUUGAAUGCUGUCAAAUCCUGCCAGUCCUUGGAAGGCCACCUUAAAUUACUUCUCUGGACUCAGCUGUAGUGAUCUUUCCACCUGUGGAGUCACAUAAUUGUCAUGUGUAGUAGUGUGACAGCAUUUGUAUUAUAAUUUGGCACCAUUAUUUCCAUUUUAGUGUAUUUUUGACUUGACAUGUUAAUUAAAUGUUGCUUGAGACAGGAAACUAUAUCUUAAAUGUUUUAAAAUUAACUACUGUACCCUAGGAAGUAUGAGCAAGUAAGGAAGGUAGGGGUGUGUGUGUGUGUGUGUGUGUGUGUGUAAAUAUUUUUCUUUCAGUCUCAUUCCUGUCAAUAAUAGUUGUUCUCUGAAAUUCAAACUCCCAGACUUAGUUCCAGAGGUAUGUGGUAUGUGUUUGUAAGAAGGUGGGUAGUCCUUAGGCUGUUGGGUUAUAUGCAUUAUGUGCAUUAUGCUGCAUCUGAUUGUCUGAAACUGAAACUCUUUUUUUUUUUUUAGUUGUAGAUGGAUGCAGUAAUUUUGUUUUACUUGUUUGUUUUUAUGUGGUAGCUGAGGAUUGAACCCAGUGUCUCAAAGGUACGAGGCAAGUGCUCUACUACUGAGCUAGACUCCCUCGCCUGAUUGUCUGAAACUCUUUCAGACCUGUUGCUUCCUUUUGAAAUUUUCCUUGAUUGCCCUAGUUGAUGCUCAUCCUGUGUAUAGACCCCUCCCUUAGGCAUGUGACUCACUGAUUUAAAAGCAGUACAGGAUAGUAAUUAACUACCUCUCUCUCAUCGUAUAGAGAUGAGAACGUAAAUGAAUGCUUCCUAGCUAACACUUUCUUCCCCAACUGUUUACCCACCUACGGACUUGUAGCAACACUGUCCCUCAUCUGGUCUUUGAAGGAAGUAUCUCUAGAAUGUUUGUCUCCUAUUAGAAAUGAUUAGUUUGCAUAUUCUUGUACAAGUGAUAGAUUUUUCAACUGAUUUAGUUUUCUGUAAUUUUUAUAAUGUCAUUAGUUUGGUUUUAUGAUGUGUACAUUAGGAAAGAUGACAGUUGGAUUUUUAAUGAAGGUAAUUUUAAGUUUUUAGUAAAUAUUAAUUAAGUCAAAUAUUAUGACAGAUUAGUUGAAUUAAGGUCUAACAUCACCAGUACAUUCUUAAGAUAGCUGAUGGAUGUUUAUCCAUUUUCAUGAAAUGUAAUUAGAUUUUUAGGAAAAUAUAUUUAUGUAAAGGAAUUUAUUCUACCUUUAUUACUGCAGGUUGGCAAUCAAAGCUUUUUUUUUUUUUUAGUGUUGGUGGUACUGGGAAUUGAACCCAGGGCCUCACACAUGCUAAGGCAAGUGUUGUGCCAUUGAACUGUAUCUCCAGACCUUUUUAUUUUAUUUUUGAGACAGGGACUGGUUGAGAUUUUAUUAAAGUUAGCAAAUGAACUGUUAAGCAUGGUGAAAGACACGGGAAUGUUUACUAUCCAUUCAACUUUUCUAUCAAUUUAUAAGUAUUUAAAAUAAAAAUUUUGGAAAAUGAAUACUUUAUCAUAUCCAAUUUAUAAUUUCAUACAGGGUUUUAUGUGUGUGUGUGUGUGCUAUUAGGGAUUGAACCCAGAAGUGUUCUGCCGUUGAGUUAUAAUGGCAGAUUUAUAAUCAGAUUUAUAAUCCUCCUGAGUAGCUGGUGUGUACUACCCUGCCCAGCUCUGAAAAAAUAUUGAAAACAGCAUCUCAGAGUAUUUAUCAAUAGAAAGUAAAUCUAUUCUUUAUAAGUUAUAUGUAGUAUAAUUGCAUUGCCAAGAAGUUCUUGCCCUUAGAUUGCUUACGCUUCUCUGUUGCUGAAGCACACAGUCUGUGACCUUUUAAGUGCAGUUUAAUUUUUCAUUUAACUUAUAAUUCAUGAUUUCCAGAAAAAAAAUUUAAAAUUUAAAAUUUCCUGAUCAAGGAAAGCUGUGUGGGACUUCCUUCUAGAAUUGUUUAUUAAACAAUCUAUAGGCAGGCAAGGUGGUUCAUACCUGUAAUUCCAGCAGUUUGGGAGGCUCAGACAGAAGGAUUGCAAGUUCAAGGGUAUCCUCAGCAACUUAGAGGCCCUGUCUCAAAUUAAAAAAAAAAAAAAAAAAAAAAGAAUAAAAGGAGGUGGGUUGGGGCUGGGAUAUAACUCAAUUGCAGAGCACUUCUGGGUUCGAUCCCUAAUAGCACACGUGCGCGCACACACACAAUCCUGUAUAAAAUUAUAAUUUGGAUAUGAUAAAGUAUUCAUUUUCCAAAAAUUUUACUUUAAAUACUUAAAAUUGAUAGAAAAGUUGUAUGGAUAGUAAACAUUCCUGUGUCUUUCACCAUGUUUAACAUUGAAACUUUAAUACAAUCUCAAAAUUAUAAUGUUGAAUGAAAAAACAAGUCAAAGAAGAAUACAUGUAUAUAGUAUAAUUAUUCAUAUAAAGCUCCAAGGUAGGAACAAUUUUAAAAUGUAUAUUAAAGGGAAAAUACCACUGUGGUAAAAUGUAAGGAAGGGCUGGGGUUGUAGCUCAGUGGUAGAGCGCUCGCCUAGCAAGUGUGAGGCCCUGGGUUCGAACCCCAGCACUACAUAAAAAUAAAUAAAUAGAAUAAAGGUAUUGUGUCCAACUACUACUAAAAAAUAAAUAUUAAAAAAAUGUAAGGAAAAUUAAGGGAAUAAUGCCAAAUUUAGAAUGGUAGUUAUCUUUGGUGGGACGAAGUAAUUGUCUUGAUACAUGGAGGGGGUUAAAGCUGCCAAUACAUUUCUUACAUAGAAGGUUGGGACAGAAUUAUUCAUUUUUAUUACCCUUAUUUCAAAUGUACAUCUAUAUUUUAUAUACUUUUAUAUGUAGAAUGGAUUUUAGGCUAAAAGUUCUAUGGUAAUAUUUUUAAAAUCUGGAUAUGAGGUAGACAGAUGUCUGUUCUACCACUUUUUAUAUUUUCAGAACGUAGCAUGAUUUAAAAAAAUUAAAGUAUCACAAAAUUCUAUAUUGAAACUUAAGAAUACUGUGUGACAAAUCAUUAACAGCAAUACCUCACACCUCAAAACAGAUAUUAAGUUAUUAUAAAAUGAAUAAAAAAUGAAAACAAUUUUUACUUCACUUCAUUGUAAUGUAACAGAAAAUAUACAUCAUCUACAUAAAAUUUAUUUUAAAAAUUUUAACUUAUAAUGUUAUUCAUGAAAUACAGUUAGCAAAUUGUGGGAUACAGCCUUGUUCUUAGGAUACACCUGCUGAAAUGUUCAGGGUUUAACCUAUUUACAGAAUACCUGAAAAUGUCUUGGAACAGAAAAGUGUGUGUUUUUAUAAUGAGAGCAAGAAAAAGAAAGAAAGCAAGCCUGUGAGGCAAAAUGAACUGCUGAAUAUUUGGAGUUGAGUGCAAGUUCAGCCUUUGACACUUGGUAAAUUUUGGUGAAGGAAGACUUCAUUCAUUAUCGUUGCUGUAAGGAGGUUCAGGGACCAUUGCAACAGUUGUGCAGUAGGAGAGAGAACGGUUGCACUCAACUCUAACUACAGCAUAGGCAAUUGGGAACUUUUCAAUUCAGUGAACAUGUUGGGGCUUAGUGGAUGGAAAACUGUUAAGAGAAAACAUCAGGUGUAGGAGAAUUUGUGAGUGUCUAGGAGUGCAGCGGUGGGUUACAUGUUACUGUAUAUUUAGCUUUUUAAAGAAACCGCCAAACUGUUUUCCAAAGUGGCUGUGUCACUUUAUGUGCUCAGUUGUACGAGAAAUCCUUUUCCUUUACUUUCUUGCCAAUAGUAGUUAUUGUCACUAUUAAUUUUAGCUGUCCCAGUGGGUGUGUAGUUAUGAUCUCAGCGUAGGCUUAAUUUGCAUUUCCUGAUGAGUAGUGACCUUGAUCAUCUCUUUCCAUGUGCUUUUUGCCACUCAUAUAUCCUCUUCAGUGAAAUGUGUCUUCAUAUUUUUUUGCCUAUAUUCUAGUUGAAGUUUUCUUUUUACUGUUAAGUUCUGAGGUGGUUUAGUAUGUAAGUCUGUACUUUAGUAUCUAAGUCUGUACUUUAUUAACGGGAUUCUUUGCAGAGCAGAAGUAUUAAAUUCUGAUUAAGUUUAAUUAAUCAUUUUUCUUUUGUGAAUCAUGCUUUUAGUGUCAUUUUCCAUUCCUGCUCCCAACCUUUAGCUCCAGAUGAUCACUGAUCUACUUUUUGUCUUUAUGGGAUUGCCUUUUUGGGGAUAUUUCAUUUAAAUGGAAUUUUGUAGUGUGUGGUGCUUUUAUUUAUUUAUUUAUAAAUUCAUUUAUUCAGCACAUUUAUUAAUUUAUUUAGCAUUUUUUCAUUUAUUCAGCAUAUUUGUAAUUACUUUUUUCCCCACAUUUUUAAUUGAUGCAUUGUAUUUUUAUAUAAUGAUGGGAUUUGCUGUUACAUAUUCACAUAUGCACACAUUAUAACAAUAUAAUUUGGCCAGUAUGACUCUCCAGGACUUCCCAUCCUCCUUUUUGCUCUUAUUUCCCUUGGAUUUUCAUGAUAUCCCCUCCCCCCACCACUUCCUUUUCCUUUUUCCUUUCUAGCUUCCACAUAUGAGAGAAAAUAUACGACCCUUGACCUUCUGAGUUUGGCUUAUUUCACUUAACAUAAUGAUCUCUAGUUCUGUUUUUUUGCAAAUGACAUAAUUUCAUUUUUCUUUAUGGUUGUCAUUCAGCAUAUAUUCAGGGUUCAUCCAUGUUGUAUCAUGAACCAGUUCUUUUAUGACUUCAUCUAUUCUUAUGGCUGAAUAAUAUUCCAUUCCUUGCAUAGACCACAUUAUUUAUCCAUUUGUCAAUUAAGACAGAUUGCUUCCACUUUUCUGCUUAUACCAGAAGAGCUGCAUAUAUAUUAGCCACCUUCCUCAUGUGUGAUGCACACAUGCACAGAUAUACUCAUAUAUAUAUAUAUAUAUAUAUAUAUAUAUAUAUAUAUAGUUUUGUUUCCUUUUUUUUGAAGCUUUAUUUUAUUUUUUUUUUAAUGUGGUGCUGAGGAUCGAACCCAGUGCCUCAGAGGUACUAGGCAAGUGCUCUACCACUGAGCUACAACUCCAGCCUUUUUUCCUUUUUUAAACAAUGAAGGAUGACUUAUUUUAUGAUUUUAUUAAAAAAAAAAACAACUUAAGGUACUUGGAAUAUCUUUCCAUAUCCAUCAGAAUAUACACAAUAUAUCUAAUUUUUCUUGUUAAACGUUUAGCGUUUAGUGUUUAUUGUGGCUAUUGAUCUUAUACUGAUAAACAUUUAGGUGACAGUGGGUGACUUCCUGAUUUUUCUUAUGUGGCAAUAAAGAUUCUUAAAUAGUGUCUUUGGUGCAAAGCUCAUUUUACAUACUUUUGGACUUCAUUGUCAUUUAUCAUUCACUUAUGCUAUUACUGUUGUAUAGGGAUUUUCUUAUAAAGAAGAUACAUAGAAAAUGAUUGCAUUUCAUGUAAGCAUACUGUUUCUUACUUACUAGAAUUCUGUGGAACAAAUAACUACAUAAGGGAGUAGAGAGAAUUUAACAGGAGAUAUUUGAAAUGGGUCUUUGUGAGGAAAAAUGGAAGUUCACUUGGCAGAAGAAGAUAAAGAUAAGUACAUUUUGACUUUUGAAUUCCGAGUGUGAAGAAAAGUAAAAGCAUUACACAGCCUGGCCUCUUCAGGAAAUAGCAAAUAGUUUAAUAUGGCCAGCAGGAGGCUUUUGGGCAUGAAUUAUAGAAGACAAGGCAAGUUAAGUAGACUGAAAGCAGAUUAUAGCAGACUGAUUAGUCUAUAAAUGUCCUUCUAAAGAAUUUGUACUUUAGGCUGGGGGUGUAGCUCAGUGGUAAAGUGCUUGCUUAGCAAGCAUGAGGCCCUGGGGUUUGAUCCCCAGUACUGAGUUGGGGGGGGGGAGACAGGGACUUCAAUUUGUACAUACUGGAAAUCAUUGGGGAAAAAAAAUUAAGUGCACUUUUAUUUUUAUUAAAUGGUUAGAGUUGUGUUGUGAAUAUUUCAGAUUCCUUCCAUUGUCUUUCUCAGUUACCUGAUUCUACCUCUUGCUCUAUGCAACUGUUGCUUUGCUUCUUGUGUCUAAAUUUACCCUUUCUAAAGAUUUUAUGUACAUUGAUGUGUACAAUAUGUGGCUUUGCAUCUGGCUUCUUUCACUUUUUAUUUUUUAUUUUUAGACAGGGCUUUACUAAGUCGCUGAGGCUGGCUUUGAACUUGGAAUCUUCCUGCCUCAGCUGCUUGGAUUACAGUGGGGCGGCACCACCUGACCAAAAUUUUUGUUUUUGAAGUUAUUCAUUUUGUUUUAUAUGUAUCAGUAUUUCAUUCCUUUUUAUUCCCCUGUGUUAUUCCUUUCUGUGGUUAUACCACACUGUUUAUCUGUUUAGUAGGUGAUGAAUAUUUGGAUUGUUUCCAGUUUGGGGUUAUUAUGAAUAAUGCUGCUAUGAACAUUUGUAGCUAAGUAUUUAUGUGGACACAUUUUUCACUUUUCUUGAGUAGGUUCCCAUAGAGAAAAUUUUGGAUCAUAUGGUAAGUUUUUGUUUUAUUUAACUUCAGGAAAUUGGCAAACUGUUCCCCAAAGUCACUGUAUUAUUUUACAUUACUGUCAGCAAUGUAUGAGGGUCUCAGUUUCUUUUUGUCCUGAAGCUUGGUAUUAAUUGUCUCUUUAAUUAUAUAGACAUUCUGUUGACUGGUAGUAUGUUGUUAUGCUUUUACUUUGCAUCUCCAUAAUGAAUUAUGAUCAUUAUUUUUAAAAUAUGUUUUUAGUUGUAGGUGAACACAAUACCUUUAUUUUAUUUAUUUAUAUGUGGUGCUGAGGGAUCUAACAUGUAGUAGGUGUGUGCUCUACCACUGAGCCACAACCCCAGCCACAUGAUCAUUAUUUUUUUUUUAAUAUUUAUUUUUUGUUGUAGGUGGACACAAUAUCUUUAUUUCAUUUUUAUGUGGUGCUGAGGAUCGAACCCAGUGCCUCAACGCAUGCUAGGUGAGCGCUCUACCACUGAGCCACAACCCUAGCCCUAAUCAUUUUUUAAUGAAGCACAGGUUUAUUUUGAAAAUAGCAGGUAUACUGAAUGGAGGUAAGAAUGAAGGUGGGCUCCAUGAAAAAUAUGAGCCUAUACUAGAGGAUGUAAUUAGAGUUGGGGAAGAUGGAUUCUAAAGAUCUAUUAGCAUUAGAAUGGGAAGCAUUUACUAAUUGGCUAAAUAUAAUCAGUGUGGCAGAGGGAGGUGGAAUUUAGUGAUCCCAAGAUUUCAAACUUUGACAGUUGGGUAGAUAGUGCUGCCAUUAGCCAAAAGAGUGUGUGGAUGUUUUUUGUAUUGUAUACCAUGGCUUUUAUAUUGAUUCUGUUUUUUUGAUGUUCCACUGGAAUAAAUAUUUGAGUUUUUUAGUAGUUUGGAAAUAUAUUCAAAAGAUGAAUCUGAGCUGAAAUCAGAAAUUUAGGGGAGUUAUUAUAUAUGUAACAACUGAAUUCAUAGAAGUAAAUGGCAUGUCUGUUCCUAAAUCCCUGUAUGUUUUUGGUUACUAUGAGCAACUGAAAUUGGCUUAAUCAAUAAGAAGAUUUAAUAUAAUACAAAAAGAUCCAAAUUAAAAUCGUUCUAGGUAUUCAGGCGAGGCAUAAUAUCACCAACGAUCCAGAUUCCUUCUAUCAUUUAGUGCUCAUGUCAUUCUCAUUCUGUUUGAGUGUGUCCUCUUACACAGUCUGUUCUCCAAUGUUCUUAUGAUGAAUGCCACAGUUUGGCUGACACAUUUCUACCCAGAAUUGUAUGCAAAAAAAGCAUGUGUAUGUGUAUCAUCUGGCUUUUGUUUUUGGUGAUGGUGGUGGUGGUUCAGUACUGGGGAUCAGAACCAGGAGCAUUCUACUUUAAGCUACAUCCCAAUGUUUUUUGUUUGGUUUUGAGAGAGGGGCUUCUUACUAAGUUGCUCAAACUGGCCUAAAUUUGUGAUCCUCCUUCCUUAGCCUCCCAAGUCACUGGGAUUAUUGGCCUAAAAAACCACACCCAGCUCAUCUGGCUCUUUGCUUCAUCCAGGAAAACCUUCCCCAUAAGCUCCCUAGCAAGUGAACUCUCUUUGUCUUACUGGCCAGAAUAAUCCACUGGCAAAAAGAAUGGAAAUUACCACAGUUGGCUUAGACCAGAGCAUUCUAGCCCAAGAAUCUUUCUCUGAUAUCUCUUCUGGAAGAAACUUUUCCCUCUUGCCUUUUGUUCUCUUUUGUAUUUCAGAUAGGUUAGAUUUUCUAAAUAACUUAGUUUCUUAUUGAGUCAUUAAUAUUAGGUACUUCAAAUCAGCUAAUAUUUGCUGAAAUCUUAUUCUAUGUCAUUUAACUGUGCUAGAUUUUAGGAUACAGAAAUGAAACUAUAAGAAGCAUUGUUUGAUAUGGAAGUAACUUCAACAGAAGAAUUAUGCCCUAAAGUUCAUUUGUAUUUUAUAUCAAUAUAUGUAUGUAUGUAUGUGUGUAUGUGUAUGUAUGUAUGUAUGUGUCUGUAUGUAUGUAUAUGUAGGCAUGUUUAAUGCCAUUAUUUUAUCUUUGGAUUUAUGAGAAAAGGCAUCUUUAGUUUCAAAAUCAAGCUUACUUUCAAUUGAUAAAAAUUAACUUUUGGAACAUUUAGAACACAACUUGUUCAUGAGUUGAUCCUCCGUAUCUGUGUUAUUUGGGUUCAAAUGAAUGAAUGCUAAAACUAAAUUAUAUUGUUCAUUUGAGUUACUUAAAGCAAAAACCAUGUUAUAUUCUCUACAGCAUAAUGUUUGAGUGUUCUAGUUAACAUGCUAAAGAUUUUAAUAGUACUGUCUUUUGCUUAAGAUCCCAACUGAAAUGUUUCUAAAAUAAAGAUGAUUUUGUGAUUUGGUUCUGAUUUUUUUAAAAAAAAUGGUUAUUUGAGUGCAGCUGUAGUGUUAAUAUAGUAAGCAGUGUUUGUACAGUAGACAUACUAUUUUUUAGUUGUAGGUGGACACAAUACCUUUAUUUUAUUUUUAUGUGGUGCUGAGGAUUGAACCCAGUGUCCCAUGCAUGUAAGGCGAGCACUCUACCUCUGAGCCACAACCCCAACCCAGAUGGGGUGCUUUUUAUGGGUGUUGAAAGAGAGAAGAAAUGAAGUUAGAGAUGAGGGAAUUGGGAGUGGUAGAAAGGAAAAAUGUGCAAUCUAAUCACUUAUUCUGAAUGCUAAAAAUUCCACUACAUUUUGAUAACUAUUAUAAACUCAAAAAGUAAUUCUAAGCUUCAGUUUUGAUUGAUUAUAUUUAUCAAAAUCAUACUUAUGCUGUAUUCUUUUGUAUUAAGUACAUUGUCCUUAAUACAGGAAUUAAUGGUGAUAUUCUGACACCCCAGAGUUGAAGAUAAUUAUAAUUCCCAUAAUGUGUGUCCUUGAUGGGUUCUGGGUUCUGUAUGGUGUGGGGUAUGUGUGGUGUUAGGUAUUGAAGCCCAGAGCUUCACACUGAGCAAAUGUUCUACCACUGAGCUAGCUGUACCUGCAACCCCUAGUGAUCCAAAAGUAUCUUGGUGGCUUAAGAUUUAAACAUUUUAAUAAUUUUGAAAACCAAGAGGAAAGUCAGGCGUGGUAACACACACCUGUAAUUCCCACAGUUUGGGAGGUUGAGGCAAGAGGAUCACAACAUCAAGGUCAGAGUCAGCAACUUAGUGAGAGCUUUGUUUCAGAAUACAAAGGGCUGGGUAGAUAGCUCAGUGGUAAAGUGCCUCAAUUCAGUCCCCAAUACCAAAACAAAACAAAAGAUGCAUGCAAAAAACAACCAAGAGAAAUGUGUACAUCUUGAUAGCAGGAACAUGUAUUUUGUAAAGGAAAAUGUGGGAAUAAAAAUAAAAUAUGGGAAUUGUCUGCUUUUUGUGCAAAUAAUUAACUUGAGUAAAUUCUAAUGUUAGCUCUUCGUUAUAAAACAUUAGAGUAUACUUAGGUUUGAUUUUCAUUUAUUUCAAGUCACUAAGAAACUGAUAUUUGUAAAAGAAUUACCUUCUCUUUAAUGUGCUUUCUACAGUUAACAUGUUUGAAAAUUUUAAACAUAAAAUCUUUAACAUAAAAACACUUAUUAUGAGAAAAGGCAUCUUUAGUUUUAGCAUCUGGGGCUGUGGCUUAGCGGUAGAGAGCUUGUCUAGCAUGUGCAAGGCACUGGGUUCAGUCCUCAGCACCACAUAAAAAUAAUUAAAUAAAUGUCCAACUACAACUAAAAAAAUACUUAUUUGGUGUUUGGUUUUAACUGGCAUACCUGUGAUUGUGGGAUAUAAGUUUACAAUGCUCAGACUGCUGUAAGUUGCCUUGUAAGUUAAGUGGUUGAAGUUGUUUGGAACAUUUUGCCUAUGUAAAUCUUGUUCCCUUCUAUAUGUGUGCAUAUUUAUAGAUUUGUGCUUACAGAACUAUGGCACUAUAUUGCAAAGGUCCUAAUCUUUACUGUAUUCACACAAUUUGUAAUAUGUAAGAAAUUAUUUGCAGACCUGUACUGUGAAGUAUAUCUUUCCUCUGACUUGUUUUGGUUAGCUCUGAAUAAUGAAGUCAAACCUUACUUGAUUUUCCUUAGUGAGUCUUAGGGUCAAUUUUCUUUCUUUCUUUAUUUUUCCUUUUUUAUUAAAAAUAAACUUUAGAUUUAGGUAGUUAUGUGUUGUAACUCAAGGAAACAAUAUUGUAAUGAUUAGUGUUGUAAUAAACAAUGAUUGGUAAGUGGUUUACAUGUUAUUUAUCAUUUGCUCCAUUGGAAGUAUCUGAUAAAAUUAGAAUCAGGCCAUCUCUGUUGGCUGUCUUUGGUUUUAUGCAAAUGGAUUAAUAUGAGCUUUGUUUAAUGCAGUGAUUACUUCCUCUCUCUUUCUGUACACAACCUUAGGGAGGAAUGGUGUAGUUGUAGUUGGGAAAAAUGGCUUUGGAGGAAAAUUUUUAUGCUGUUUAUAAAGUGGAAACAUAAUGCCUUUAUUUUUUAACUAGUGUGAGGGAAAUUCUUAGAGAUUAUGAAUGUCUCAAAAAAUAAAACCAUGAAGUCUCCAAUCCUGCCAUCGUGCAUUUUUCUUAGUGACAAUCUGAGAGUUUUAAAGUCAUAUAAGUACUCCCCAAAAAAAGUUAGAGACCUGGUUAAGUUGUAGGUAACUAGUAACUAGUACACCAGAAGACUGUUAAAGGCUCCUAAAUGCAGACAAAGCAUUACUAAUUGCUUUCAGGGUCAGGCUGACUUUACUUGGACCAUGAAAGAUUUAGCAUAGUCCUAUGGCUGCCUGCUUGCUGAGUAAAGAGUCUUGUCUUUAACAAAGACUGCUAUCUGAUAUGCCAGACCGUUUCAUGUUGCCCUCGUUUACAUGAAUUUAGUCAUUAUUGCCAAGACUACUAAACCUCAGUGCAACAUAAAUGAUACUUCUAAAUGGUCUUGAAGACAAAGGCCUUUAACCUUGCAGUGGGAUGUAGGUAUUGUUUACAUAGCUUUUAAAAUAUGGAACAGGAUACUUUGCUAUUUGAAGUUUCAAUUAAAAGAUACAUUCAGGAAAAGUAUUUUUUAAAAAUCUACAAGUAAAAUACCACACAUCUUUAAGUAAAGUAAAAUUUCUAAUGUUUUCCAUCUUUUAGAAUGUUUAUUCCUUGGAACGGUAGGAUCCUAAUGACACUAUUAACAUGGGUCCAAUCCCAUCAAUGCAACUAAUUCUUCACACUCAUAAAUCCUACUAUUCUAGGUAGAAGUUAGAAUGAAAUUAAAACUGGUUAAUGAAACUUGAUAAAAAGGGGCAAAGGAAAUACUAGCUAGAUGGUCAAAUAUGUUUUUGCCCAUGUAAGAAUAUGAAUUUUUUAUUGUAAUACUUAUUGAAUUGAUAUUUAUUUUACUGUUUAUUUUAAUACUAUUUAGCUAGCCCUUAUUAUUAUUAUUUUUGGUACCAGGGAUGGAAUCCUGGGGGCACUCAACCACUGUGCCACAUCCGCAGCCUUUUUUUGUAUUUUAUUUAGAGACAGGGUCUCACUGAGUUGCUUAGAACCUUUCUAAGUUGCUGAGGCUGGCUUUGAACUCAAGAUCCUCCUAUCCCAGCCUCCUGAGUCACUGGGAUUACAGGCAUGCACCACUGUGCCCGGCUAGCUAGCAUUUACAUUCAGUAGUCUUCAUUGGUAGGUUUGACUGUUAGUGCAACCAAAUGUAUUUUUUUAAACAUUUAUGUGGUUUUUAAUUGUAGUUGCACACAAUACCUUUAUUUAUAUGUGGUGCUGAGGAUCGAACCCCGGGUCUUACACAUACUAGGCAAGUGCUCUACCACUGAGCCAUAACUCCAGCCCCUGUAUUUUUAAAAAAUUUUUUUCUUUUUAGUUAUACAUGUCAGUAGAAGGUAGUUUGGAAAAUUAUACAUUCAUAAAAUAUAACUUAUUCUAUUUAGGAUCCUAUUCUGUGGUUGUAUAUGAUGCAGAGUUACUCUGGUCGUGUAUUCAAACACAAGGCUAGGAAAGUUAUUGUGUGUUUUUUUUUAAAUGAUGAAAUUUUUGUUUCUCAAAACUAUAACAUGGAAAUUUUAUAGGUGACAUCUUUUUUUUCCCACAAAACUAACUUUAUAUGCUUCAUUAUUCAGAGGUUGGGAAAAUAAUAAAAGUGAUGGGUUUCUAAACAACUGGAACUUUUCAUUGUCUUUACUUUGAAAAUGUGUUAUUUUACAUAUGAAAUAUUUUUAGUAUUGCUUUAACAUGUGUUAGAAAAUUCUGACAAAUAAAAGUUCUUUCUAUCUUAAGUUUAAGUUCUUUUUUCCCCCCAGAUUUAUGAAAAUAUGCAUCAGCUUAAUACUGUCUUGGAAUUCAUGAGAUGGAAGCAUAGGUCAAAGCUAUUUGGAGAGAAUUGGAAGUACAGUUUUAUAGCCACAUCUCUAAGGUAAGGAAAAGAUUUUAAAGAAAAUAAUAGAGUAACAUGAA